rnacentral:lncRNA from 1 species
AACCCUUUUUUUUAUGUGUUGAUAAAUAUUUUAUUUAACCCAAUUUUUAUUUGUGUCAUUUUAGAUUUUACCCUUCUUAAAACCCCCAAAUCAAAUCCCUAAAACUUCCUCUCUUCUUUUUUUUCUUCGUUUUUCCUUUUUCUUUCUUUUUUCUUCCUUCCCUUUUUUUCAUUCGUCUCCUCCCUCACCCCUUUUCUCCACUUCCUGAGCCUUUACCCUUCAAAACCCUAACUUUAUCCCCUUUCUUACAAUUCUGACCCAAAAAUCAAUCAAAAAUCUUGUGGGGAAGCCGAUAUCCAUGAAUGUUGAAGAUUCUAGGGACUAAGCCCUUUCUCUGCUCACUAUCGUGCUCAACCAUUCUGAUUUGGCAAUGAAGCUUUCGUCUCUUAAAUAGGCCAAGGACAUUCUUUCCUCUCUCAGUUCUUCUUCCGCCAUCAAACUCUUCCCCUACCUUUCUGAACUCCAGCUUUCUCAUCAUAGCCUCGUUAGGGGAUUUCUUGUCGAAUGAGUUUCAAACCCCAAAUCUUUCCAAUUUUGUAUGUUUAUGUUAUUUUAUAUGCUGUUGUUGUACGCUUAACUGCUUCGCUUCUUAGUUUUGAUAUUCGUGUGAUUAAUGAGUUGCAUUUCUUUGACAGAAACAUGAAACAUGAUGAUCUCAUGGUUUUAUUUCUUUGACAGAAACAUGAAGGUUGAGUACCUCUUAGUUCUUUCCUCUACUAAUUUGUUUUCUCGUUGCAUAUUAUGCCUUGUAUUUAAAAUGGAUAGAAAUAUAAUGAUCUCAUGAGUCUGCGUUUGUAUAAAGGUAUAGGUUUAAGUCUUCUGGCCUUAGUUUGCUUCCUAAUCUUUUUGAAUGAUGAGGUUAUACCAUGGGUAGUGUUGUUUUCAUCAACCCCAAUGUAAUUUAAAUAAGCAUCCAUAAUACAGCUAACAUUAUCAAAUUACCUGUCAGUUUUUACUUGUUUUUGCAUAUAUGAUAUAGCCUUCAUCAAUAAAUAAACUAGCACUUGUCUUUUCUCUUAUUGUCCUGUUUUUACUUAGAAUAUUUUCUUACCUGGCUAAAUGAACUAGAAACAUAUUUGAAUUGUUAGAAAUGCAUGUAACUAGUCUUAAGAAGUUAAUAAAGUGCCACAAUAUGAAAUAUUGAUCACGUUAUAAGCAUAAGCCUUAGAGCUCGCUUGAUCUUUUGAGUCAAUUGGAUGGUCAUAAGUUAAGACUCUAACUAUAGCCAUUGGUUAAAUUGAUUUGAUGCUAGUUUCAGCAACUUGUUUUUUCAAUCAAUUCUGUAAGUAAUAAAAAAUGACACAUCAAAUUAUGCAUCUUGCUUUGGGUUGAAGAUGAUAAUGGAACUUACCACUGACAAAGGAACUCUUACUACUGACAUAUUAAAUUAGCUCACUUCCUUUAAUGAUAAUUUUGGUUUUUAUCCAUUUUCCCCUUUAUUUUUAUCAAAUUUAGUUUGUCAUUUCAUGCUUUUAUCUAUUUUUUAAUAUAUUUUUUCGGUUGAUAGAUUGCAGGUGUCAACUCUUUAAUAGGAGAACUUCGAAAUAUAAGUUCAAAUGAGAUUACUUUACUUGACCACUGUCAAGAACUUGUAUCAACAAUUAUUAUUGAGAUAAGCAUCUGAUGCCACUUGAAGUGCUUAAUUUCAAUUUAAAGCAUUCCGCCUCAUUGUUAUGUCUUUGUUGGCAUUACUCAUGUUUUAGUUGUUUUUUUGUUUAAUUAAAAAUACAAUAUGCAAGGUCAAAGAAGGUUAAAUUUAUGGUAAAUAUCUUGAUUGCUUUUACUCUCAGUAGUGGAAGCAAUAUCUGACUUUUGUGAUUGCAGUGAAUUUGCGUUCAGUUGUAGUCUUUUGCACUAGAAUUUUCAACUGCAAUCACAGUGACAAACUAGACUUAAACUUUUAUUUUAUGUUGACAUUUUUUUACCCUUAUAAUUUGUUUAGCUUUGCUAUAUUCUCUAUGUACCUCAAUUAAACUGGCAGAGGAGAAGCCUUCUCCAUUUUCAUUCUUGAACGAAUUUGUUUGUUUGGAAUGCUUAUAUCUAGGUAUUUAAUUCCCAAAUGCUUGCUGGGAGGAUUUUCAGAAUCACAGUAAGGGGAACAACUUAAUGAAUGUUACUGUGCAAUUGGAUGUUUAUUUUCCUUGUUAUUUCGUGAUCAAUCACUUUCUUCCUAUAUAUGUUAUUAAAUAUGUUUGACUGCCUUUCUGAUAUGAACUUACAAUGUGUAAUUGAGUCGUUGAAUUCCCGGUCGUCAAAUUAAGUAGUCUCAUUUCGGUUUAACAACUUGGCUAAUUUAAAAGGAAGAAGAUAGUUAAAACAAAGAAUGAUAGUAAAGUAAAAUGAUGGAAAGAUGGUAAAAUGAACUUAAAAUAAGAAUGAACCCAUAAUAGUGAUUAAGGAUCUAAUUCUUAUAAGUUUUAAGGUGGUUAAUGGAUAGCUGCAUAGGAUCGUGACCCAUUAUCUAGCAAGAUAGGAACCAAACAGUAUAAGGUUGAACGCCACACUCGAAGAGUGAUAAGUUCAAGAAAGAAACAAGUUUGACGCCACUAGCUAACUAGAUAAGUCAAAUUGAAUCUCGAAGAACAAUUAGAGUGAACAACUUACAAAGUCUGAUAUAUUUCAUAAGAUAUCAAAAUCAAUCAAGUAUCCUUCAAAAGAUUUACAAAGGAACUAUUUAUAGGCUGCUGGAUAUCCAGCUGAAUAGCCACAAUUGAAUGCAAAUGCUUGGAGCUAAAGUGACUUAAUUUCCAGCUGAAAAAUCCAUUAAAUGGCUUUAAUAAGCAGUUGUCCAUUGAGAAGCCCAAAUAGUCUUAGGAAUGUGCUCUUUUGUGUGCAUGAGCAGCCUUGGUUCAUAUCCUUAAUGAGUGAGUUGAUUAAAGCAUUGUUUGGUAAACGAAAUUAUAGUUGGAGUUAAUGUUUGAAAAUGCACCGAAUGAGGAAUCAGCUAGAGAGUGUAUUUGAUGGCAGCCAAAUGGCCCUUAGGUGUGAACACUUGGUUUUGGAGAGUCUUUGAAUGUGAAUACCAAGCACCGAAUGGUCUCUUAAAAUGUUAGCUGAUCAGCUCACAAUUGUUGGCUAAUGAUUCAUGAAUAAUCAGCUAAGUGAAUGCACCAAGCAGCUCUCAAAAUACAUGCACAAUUGGGUGCAUGUUCUUCAUUAAAUUAGCUUCAUUGAAUCUGGGAAAUUCAUGAAUGUCCAGCUGCAAUCAGCUCCCAAUGUACAUGCACAAUCGGGUGCAUGCUCCACAUUGAUUAGCUUCAAUGAAUUGGCAUUGUGCAUGAAUGUCCAGUUGGAUGCUUUAAUAACCUACUAUGACAAAUUAAACACUUGGUUAAACAACAAGAAGACAAAUUAAACGCACAAAUAAAUAUGUAAUAGACUAAGACACAUUUAAGAAUUUUGACUUGCUAACAUACAUAAAGUCUGUCUGAAUUUGAACAUACUUAAUAGACAAACAAAGACAUGAUUUUAGUAUGUAAUACACUAAGACAUAAUUUAAAUAUGUAACAUUCUAUGACACAAUAAAGACCGAAUAAAAAUGACACAAUUAAUAAGUUUAAUAAGCAAAAGAAUCAGACAUGUAAUUGAAGCUGUAGAAAACUAAACAUAAUUAAAUAAACCAAUGUAAUUAAGAAUGUCCAAAUCUUAGCAGCUGGGUUAGCUAGCUAAGCCGAAUUCAGCCUCAAAUAAAUUGUAAAUGUCCCUUGUUGAAUCGUCCAACACUUGAUUGACGAGUCCAUUUGUAGUUUCCUUUCAAACUUGAUCUACUAAAGCAGAUAUUGACUCUUUAAAUCAUUUGGCUUGUGCUCGAGUGAUUGGUCCACUAGGGAGCUCAAUUGGAUCUCGUUUGGAGUCAACUAAGUCCUUAGGCGAGUUCGUAUCAUUCCCCUCUUUAAGGUGAUUUGUCCUCAAAUCGUCGCCUACAUCAAAAGGAGAUAAAUCAGAUAUGUUAAAACUCGCGCUUAUAUUGUGCUCACCUGGUAAUUCUAAUUUAUAAAAGUGUUCAUUUAUUCGUUCUAGGACUUGAAAUGGGCCAUCUCCUCUUGGAAGUAACUUGGAUCGCCUUUACGCUGGAAACCUUUCCUUGCACGUAUGAAUGCAAACCCAUUCUCCAGGCUUGAAUAUCACUCGCUUUCGCUCCUUGUUGGCUCUUUGCACAUAUUCCUUGGUUUUCUUUUCAAUGUUUUCUCUCACCUUCUGAUGUAGUUGUUUCACAUAUUCAGCUUUCCGUUUCCCAUCUACAUUCACAAGUUGGUUAGAAGGCAAAUGAAUUAGAUCAAGAGGCGUUAAAGGAUUGAAACCGUAUACAAUUUCAAAAGGAGAGUGUUUUGUAGCUGAAUGAAUGGAUCGAUCGUAAGCAAACUCUAUGUGGGGUAGACAUUCUUCCCAUGACUUUAGUUUCUUUCGAAUGAUGGCUUGUAGUAGUGUGGAUAGAAUUUGAUUGACCACUUCAGUUUGGCCAUCUAUUUGAGGGUGGCAAGUUGUGAAAAAUAACAACUUGGUACCAAACUGUCCCCACCAAGUCCUCCAAAAGUGACUAAGGAAUUUUGCAUCACGAUCGGACACGAUGGUUCUAGGCAUGCCAUGCAACCGUACCACUUCUUUGAAAAAUAAGUUAGCUACAUUUACAGCGUCAUCAAUUUUAUGGCAAGUUAUGAAAUGUGUCAUCUUAGAAAACCUAUCAACUACAACAAAAAUGGGAUCUCUUCCAUUUUUACUCCUAGGAAGGCUUAAUACAAAGUUCAUAGAAAUGUCAGUCCAAGGAGUUUCAGAAAUAGGUAAAGGUUUAUACAAACCGUACGGCUGAAUGCGGGACUUAGCCUUUCUACAGGCAAUGCAUUGUUCGCAAAACCGUUCCACGUCUCGCUUCAUCUUCGGCCAAAAGAAAUGUUCUUGUCAUGUGGCCAAAGUUUUGGUUACUCCGAAAUGUCCCAUCAAUCCGCCACUAUGCGCCUCAUAGACUAAAACUUCUCAAACGAAUCCUUGAGGGAUGCACAGUUUUCCUUCUCGAAAUAGGUAGCCUUCGUGCCUAUAGAAUUUUUCAAAGGCUCUUUUCUCACAAAAUCUAAACACCUCACCAAAGUCAACAUCGUGUUCAUAUAAUUCUUUAAGAAAUGCAAAACCGAGCAAGUUAGAAUCUAAACUAUUAAUUAAAGUAUACCUUCUCGAUAACACAUCAGCAACUAUAUUAUCUUUACCUUUUUUUAUAUUUGAUGACGUAAGGAAAGGUUUCGAGGAAUUAAACCCACUUAGCAUAUUGCUUAUUCAACUUGUGCUGACCUUUUAUAUGCUUCAAUGCCUCGUGGUCAGUGUGAAUCACGAACUCUUUAGGCCACAAAUAAUGCUGCCACGUCUUUAUGGCCUGUAUUAGAGCGUAUAACUCCUUGUCAUAAGUUGGGUAGUUAAGAGCAACGCCAUUGAGCUUCUCGCUAAAGUAAGCAAUGGGACGCCCAUCUUGUGUGAGUACCGCUCCAAUCCCUAUACCUGAAGCAUCACACUCCAACUCGAAAAACUUGUCAAAAUUAGGCAAAGACAGCAAAGGAGCAUGGGUUAAACAAUCCUUAAUUUUCAUGAAAGCACACUCUUGCUCAUCACCCCAAAUAAAGUUAGAAUUUUUACGAAUUACCCCAACCAAAGGAGCAGCCAAUGUGCUAAAGUUGGGCACAAACCUCCGAUAGAGGCUGGCUAAACCAUGGAAGCUCUUAACUUGUGAAAUACUCGUCGGACGGGGCCGUUCUUGGAUUGCUUUCACCUUUUCUUAAUCGACCUUAAGACCUUCCAAACUGACUACAAAACCUAAGGAAACAAUCUAAUCAGUACAAAAUGAACAUUUCUUAAGAUUGGCAAAUAAAGUUUCUUUUUGCAAAGUUCCCAAAACAGCUUUUAAAUGCUUCAUAUGCUCAUUCAAAGAUUUGCUAUAAACUAAGAUAUCGUCAAAGUAAACUACACAAAAUUGGCCAAUAAAUGAACGAAUGAUAUGGUUCAUAAGCCUCAUGAAAGUACUCAGGGCAUUAGUUAGGCCAAAUGGCAUAACUAGCCAUUCGUGCAGCCCAUGCUUUGUCUUAAAUGUGGUUUUCCAUUUGUCUCUUUCGCGCAUUCGUAUUUGAUGGUAGCCACUUUCAAGGUCAAUUUUAGAAAAUAGCUGGGCUCCGCUAAGCUCAUCUAACAUAUCAUCUAAGUGCGGAAUAGGAUGCUGGUACUUGAUGGUAAUCUUGUUGAUAGCUCGGCAAUCUACGCACAUUCACCACGUUCUAUCUUUCUUGGGAACUAGAAGAACAGGAAUGGCACAGGGACUUAGGCUUUCACGCACAUAGCCUUUCUCGAAUAGUUCAUUCACUUACCUUUAAAGUUCUUUAGUCUCUUCAAGAUUACUUCAGUAGGCAGACCGAUUCGAAAUGGCAACUCCUGGCACGAAAUUAAUUCGAUGUUCAAUCUCUCGAAUUGGUGGCAAUCCGUUCGAGAUUUCUUCAGGAAAAACGUCACUAAAUUAUUGUAGUAAAGAUAAAACAGAAGAAUGAAAGUUUUUAUCAAAUUCAUUAGUCCUCAACAAACUCUCUUUGUACAUAAGUACAAAUAAUGGUCGUUUCAUUAAGAAGGAUUUUCGGAUGUCCCUUUUCUUUUACAAAGAAAAUUUUCUUUUCACUUUCACUUUCACUUUCUCUUUUUCUUUUUGUAACUCAAUUUCUUUUUUAUCACUAUUUGCUUUUUCUUUUUCAUUUUUCUUUUCUUUUUCUUUUCAAUUUUUCUUUUCUUGCUCAUUCAUUCUCGCACUCUCUACAGAAGCCUUCAACUUGAGUUGGUCUUCGUAGACUUGUUUCGGAGUUAGAGGGGCUAGAGUCACUGUCUUCCCAUGGUAGUUGAAAGUGUAACGGUUAGUGUAGCCAUCGUGCAUGACCCUCCGAUCAAAUUUCCAUAGCCGUCCAAGUAGUAAGUGUUCAACAUGCAUAGGCACCACACCGCAUAGGACUUCAUCUUGAUAUUUCCCAAGGGAAAGGGAAACAAGAACUGGUUUGGUCACCUUGAGUUCACCACCAUCGUUAAGCCACUGCAACUUCUAGGGGUGCGGAUGCUUGGUAGUGGUUAAUCCAAGCUUUUCCACCAUCACCGUGCUGGCUACGUUGGUGCAACUUCCUCCGUCAAUGAUGACGCUACAAAGCUUUCUUUUCACGUGACAGUGCAUAUGAAAAACGUUCUCUCUUUGCUGUUCGUUCUCCACGCUUUGAAGAUUGAGGCUUUGUUUGAUUACUAGCACUUCUUCACUAACAGCAAUGUUUCGCUCAUGAAUUCUUGACAUGUUUAAAACCUCACCACAAACCUCACUUAUGCAAAGAAAAAUAAUAUAUGACACACCACUCGUGUUUACACUUAAAUAUUUGGCUUUUACCUCUUAAUAAUUGAAACUCUCCACUCUUUGCCUUUUACCUCUCGAGUUCAACUCUCGAAGUUCUUGGAGAUUUCCUUAAACCUAUUAGUAAGCUCGUAGGUUGGCUUCAAAAGGCUAAAAACAAAGGAAUGAUAUUGGUAAAUAGGUAGGCUUGAAAGAAAACGAUUUUGAAGAGUGUGGCUGAAAAAUAGUUUUUAAGAUCAAAUAAGAAGGAUCGAGAAAUAAAACAUUUUGUAAACUAGCUUUUCUUUUGUCAAAAAAAAAACACAAAACCCGAACUCCCACUUUUGUAUAUAUAUUUUUUCAACUUUUGUAUUUUGCACACCUUUUUUUAUAUAUUCGAAAUAUAUAUUUUUUAAAAUUUGAAACUUCUUUUUUUUUUAACUUCUUUUCAACCUGAAAAUAUGAAAAAUGAUAAGAACGUACUUAAUUUGAAAGGCUCUGAUACCAAAUGAUACGAACUCACUUACGAACUGUAAUUGAGUCAUUGAAUGCCCGAUCGUCAAAUUAAUUAGUCUCAUUUCGGUUUAACAACUUGGCUAAUUUAAAAGGAAGAAGAUAGUUAAAACAAAGAAUGAUAGUAAAGUAAAAUGAUGGAAAGAUGGUAAAACGAACUUAAAAUAAGAAUGAACUAUAAUAGUGAUUAAAGACCCGAUUCUUAUAAGUUUAAGGUGGUUGAUGGAUAGCUGCAUAAGACCGUGACGCAUUAUCUAACAAAAUAGGAACCAAACAGUAUAAGGUUGAACGUCACCUCGGAGAGUGAUAAGUUCAAGAAAGAAACAAGUUUAACGCCACUAGCUAACUAGAUAAGUCAAAUUGAAUCUCGAAGAAUAACGAGAGUGAACAACUCACAAAGUCUGAUAUAUUUCAUAAAAUAUCAAAAUCAAUCAAGUAACCUUCAAAAGGUUUACAAAUGAACUAUUUAUAGGCUGAUGAAUAUCCAGCCGAAUAGCCGCAAUUGAAUGCAAAUACUUUGAGCUAAAGUGACUUAAUUUCCAGCUGAAAAAUCCAUUGAAUGGCUUCAAUAAGUAGCUAUCCAUUGAGAAUCUCAAACAGUCUUCGGAAUGUACUUUUUGGUGUGCACGAACAGCCUUGGUUCAUAUCCUUAAUGAGUGAGCUGAUUCAAGCAUUGUUCAGUGAACGAAAUUAUAGCUGGAGUUAAUGUUUGAAAGUGCACCGAAUGAGGAAUCAGCUAGAGAGUGUAUUUGAUGGCAGCCAAAUGGCCCUUGGGUGUGAACACUUGGUUUUGGAGAGUCUUUGAAUGUGAACACCAAACACCGAAUGGUCUCUUAAAAUGUUAGCUGAUCAGCUCACAAUUGUUGGCUAAUGAUUCAUGAAUAAUCAGCUAAGUGAAUGCACCAAGCAGCUCUCAAAAUACAUGCACAAUUGGGUGCAUGUUCUUCAUUAAAUUAGCUUCAUUGAAUCUGGAAAAUUCAUGAAUGUCCAGCUGCAAUCAGCUCUCAAUGUACAUGCACAAUCGGGUGCAUGCUCCACAUUUAUUAGCUUCAAUGAAUUGGCAUUGUGCAUGAAUGUCCAGCUACAUGCAUUAAUAACCUACUAUGACAAAUUAAACACUUGGUUAAACAACAAGAAGACAAAUUAAACGCACAAAUAAAUAUGUAAUAGACUAAGACACAUUUAAGAAUUUUGACUUGCUAACAUGCAUUAAGUCUGUCCGAAUUUGAACAUGCUUGAUAGACAAACAAAGACAUGAUUUUAAUAUGUAAUACACUAAGACAUAAUUUAAAUAUGUAACAUGCUAUGACACAAUAAAGACCGAAUCAAAAAUGACACAAUUAAUAAGUUUAAUAAGCAAAAGAAUCAGACAUGUAAUUGAAGCUGUAGAAAACUAAACAUAAUUAAAUAAACCAAUGUAAUUAAAAAUGUCCAAAUCUUAGCAGCUGAGUUAGCUAGCUAAGUCGAAUUCAGCCUCAAAUAAAUUGUAAAUGUCAUUUGUUGAAUCGUCCAACACUUGAUUGACGAGUCCAUUUGUAGUUUCCUUCCAAACUCGAUCUACUAAAGUCGAUAUUGACUCUUUAAAUUGUUUGGCUCAUGCUCGAGUGAUUGGUCCACUAGGGAGCUCGAUUGGAUCUCGUUUGGAGUCGGUUGAGUCCUUGGGCGAGUUCGUAUCACUUUCUAACUAAAAGAGUUUUAUGAUUUCAGGAGAUUCAAAAGAUUGUAGUAUUCGAAUGUGCAUUUGAAAACAAAUUUAGUAUCAUGAAGGAGGAAGGAGGUUUUGAUGGGGAUGUGGUUGUGCAGGUGGUUCAUCAUAUUUAAUUAUGGACCUGAUGAACUUGUUCUGGCUUGUUUGAUGUUAGAACAAUUAUUUUAUUUUCCUUUUCUUUGUAAAUUUCUUUUUACAAUGUCUAUGGCUUCUUUAGCUAAGUCAUGUGUUAGUGUAUUUUGAUUGUUAGAUUGAUUUUUUUAAUGAAUAUUCAAGCUUUAUUUUAAUUUUAGUUUAAUAUUUUUAGUCAUAUUUAAAGCACAAUUUCUAUCAUUAUUCAGUGUAAAUGUCUAUGAAAAUAUAUUAAUAUGGAAAUAAUAAAAAAAUAAAAAAUUUUACCUUAGAUGUGUCUAUCCCAACCUUUUUUAAAGGUUGCCUUAGACAGGUCUAUCCUCACACUUUUUAAAGGUUGCCUUAGACAAGGUCUAUCCCAACCAUUUUAAGGUUGCCUUAGAUGGGUUUAUCCCAACCUUUUUUAAAUGUUGGCAUUGACUAGGUUUUUGUCAAUCCUUCAAUAAAGAUCGGCUUAUGUUGAAUUAUGCUAACGCUUUUUCAAGUCUAAAAUUUUAAGAUUUUUCGUAGCAUUAAUUCUAGACUUUUAGACGAUAGGUGGCUAACCAACCUAACCCUAAUUGGUUAGUGGAGACUUUACGUUAAUUUAGGCCCUCCGUGUCUAGCUUUACUUACUAGGCCCCCGUACUCCUAUAUAGGCAACGUUAUGACAAUUAUUAUGUUAAAACUAGAUACAAGCAAACGAGUCGAUAAUGAUUGGAAGAAAUAAUAGCCUAUCUCGUAAGUAUGAGAUUGUAAGAAGAAUCAAUACAAUUAAAUAUUUAUGCACUCUCAACAAGACUGAGCAAUUAUGGUUUGGCUAAAACCCGAGUAUUGAAACAAGGGGCUCCAUCGAUGAGUGUAUCCAUUCCCUAAAAGUGGAUUGAUUUUAAAUGAUUGAAUAAUCUAAUUACAAUGAGGUGGACUUCACAUCUAACUAUUAUAAGUAUAACGGGAAAAAAGAAUUAGUGUAAUGGUAUUGUAAGUAUAGUAUAAGAAAGACACAUGUAUUAAAUUGAUUAAAAAUGUACAAAACGUGUAGGUUGGUUCCAAGAGGAAGAACGUGCUCGUUUUUCUAUGCCUGCAGAUCACAUCACAUCUUAAGGGUGUCCAAGUGUAUUUUCAUUUGUCUUGUAUUAGAGUGGCUUAAUAUGACAUGUACAUAAGUUAAGUUUUAUUCUAUACUAAGCUUAUAAGCGUGAUGGUGUUUUAAUGGUACUUUUAAUGCUUUCAAAUAAAGUUUUGGUUCUAAAUUGAUUUGGGCAUGUUUAUAAGAUGAAAUUGAGUUUAAAUGAGUUUUUUUUAUAAUAAUUUAAAAUUAUUAGGAGCCUAUUGGUAUGUUAUCAUAUUGUUUGGGAUCGAUUUGAAGUGUUUUUAAGUUAAUUUUCAAGUCCUCUGCUCCAAUAUAUCAAUACUUGCAAGUCAAUAGCUAAAAAGCUACAAUAGAUAGGCUAACUCUUGAGACUUGUAAGCUAAGUCUCAAGGCCUAUAGGCGAAGUAUCGAAACUUGCCAUUCAAGUCUCAAGGCUUACUCCUCUACAGCCUUAAGACUUGUAUUUUUAAGUCAUUUGAGCAACCAAGACCCUAUUUUAUGUAUUGGCUAUGUAUAAACUGUUGGGAUCUAGUGGCUUUAGUGUAGUGAUAUCGUUAAAUAUAUUUGAAAUUUUUCGAAAAGAUUGAUAUAAUAAAAUUUCAUUAUUCUCAUUAAUAUAUUUUGUAUAAUGUCCUCAAUAGUUUUUGCAUGCAAAGAAAAUGUAAUCAAAUAUUAGCUCAUUGAUUAUCUAACAUUUAACUAAUAUUAAGUUGCAUUAUGUGGUUGGAUAAUAAUAUAAGAAGACAACUUAUAUUAGUAGAUAAUCUAAAUAGUUAUAGUCUAAUCUAAAUUGAGCAAGUCAAUUAAAAGACUAUUAUGACGUCUAUCAAGUCCAAAUGGGAGAUAACUUGUCUUGGGUAUCAAAACAGAUGACUCCUAUAAGAUAGAGUCAUAGAUGAGAUUGUAAUGACUCAAUUUCCAAUGGUGUCCAAAAAUGUAGUUUCGAGAUCCCAUUUUCGUAAACCGAGUACGAAAAUAUUAUAGGGAUAUUUUCAAAGUUAGUAUAUAGAUGAAUUGAAAUUCGGUUAAGUAAUUUAACCGAAAUUGUGGUUAAUUUUUACCUAAGGACUAAAUUGUAAAAGUUCAAUCGUUAUAAAUUUGUAAUUAGCCAAAAUUUUAAGGACUUAUAUAGUAAUUAUCCAAAGGGCCAAACUGGUUAAUAAAUCAUUCUUAAACAUUCUCCAGUGGAUGGUAAUGGUUAUUAUUGAUUAAAUUAAUUAAUUAAGAUUUAUUAUAAUUAAAACAUGAUUAAUUAAAGUUAAUUAAAGUUAACUAAGUUUUAAUCCAAUUAUAAAAGUGAAAUUUCAAUGGAAGGAGAGAUAAAUACAUCUUCUCCAACCGGUUUUUAGAAAAGAAGUUUGACGGAAUUUUUAAGUUUUGAAACUUUUGGUCCUUAAAUUCAAGUAAGUCCCUGGUCACUUUUUUUUAAGCUAACUUAAGGAUGGUUGUUUGAAUUGAUCAAUUCUUAAGACUCAUCUAAUUUAUUGUGACUCGCCUAGGCUUGAAGGCCCGCCUAAAAAAUGUGAGAUUUUGCACAAAAUACGAGGCUCGAAAAAUGGGUUUGGGUAAAAUUUAAGGCCCAUUUUUUAUAUGGGUCAGGCAUUGGGCAAGUUUUUUUGGCCCGAGUCUGGCCAGAAUAUAUCAUGUUAUAAAAAAUAUUAUAUAAUUAUAUAUGUUAAAUAAUAAAAUUGAAAAUAUCAAUUUAUAUUUAAUAUAAUAAAAUAUUUAUUAUAUUUAUUUGUGUUUUUUAAUAUAAUAAAACAUUUAUUAUACUUAGAGUAGUGUUUUUUAAUAUAAAUAUUUUUAGUGUAUUUUUAAUGUGAUAGAAAACUUUUAUUUUAGCGUUUAUUUGUAUUUAGUGUAUUAUAUAUAUAUUUUAAAUUAUUUUUAAAUAAAAACUAAUCUAAAAAACUCAAAUAUGGGUAAACCAGGUCGGGCCCGAGUUUACAUUUCUUAAAUUGGGUCAAACUUUGACCAUACCAAACCUAAAUUUAAAAUUUUGAUUUAGAUAUCUUACAUGAGCCCGAGCCAAAUCCAACCCGACCUGACCAAUAAACACCUCUCAUUCAUCACCAUAUUUCGAAUUCCCAAAUACAUUUCAUUUGAUAGCAUGAAAUUCUAAUGACAACAACAAUUUUGUACACAAAUAUAUAUAAACACAUACAUUUAAAAAGUUUGUUUUUAUAUUUUAGAUUAAUUUUUUAAUUUUGGAAAAUCACAUCCAAAUAUGUUAAAUUGAAAUUUUAAUAAUAAUUAAAAUAUUCUCUUUUUAUUCUUAAACUGCAUCUCUUUAUACUUAAAAAAAAUGGAGAAAUUUAUGUUUUGUGUUCCACAAUUGGCUUCAAAGAUUAAUGGGGAGCAAAGUCGUCAUGCCACUUGCAUAUGAGUAGACAUUGUCUUCUUAAGAUUAAUUUGAAUAAUAUUUGUAUAUAUAGAUCAUAGAUAGGUGAUGUGAGUAGUUAAUUAUUUUCCUUCCCCUGCUUCUUGCCCUUUGAGAAACAAAAUUGGAAGUCAAAGGUCUUAUCUAAUACGUGUUCAUUGAUAUUAGAUUACCUUCAUCAUCAUCAUUAAUCAUUAUCCAUCACCACCCAUCAUAAUUGUCGAUGAAUUAAACAAUAAACAAUUUAUUGUAAUUAAUCAUUAUUAAUAUAAGAGAACAUGAAUUUAUCUAUAGUAUAAUUCUCUUAUUUAUAAAAUAAAAGAGACACUAUAAAUAAUUUUAAAUAUUAUAUAAAAGAAAUCCUCCAAUUAUAUGCAAUAAUGAAACCUUUGUCUUCCCUCUCUCACCCACUUGUUUGACCUCCAGCAGCCGCUAUGACAACGUUUUUGUACAGAAUCUUUAAUCACAAGUCGUACAUGCUCUCGUUCGUGGGGUCAAAUAAUGAUUAGCUGUUAAAAAAUAAGGGGAAAAGUCGAGUUUAAAGUGUUUGGAAGAGCAAACAUAUUCCAUCCCAACAAAUAUUUUGUACUUUAUUUUUUUCAUUAAAUUGACAGUAACUUUAUGGUAAAUGGAAAUGGGUGCGGUUUCGGAUUCUAGAUGGCAGUCUGAUUCCUCCACUUACUAGCCACCUGAGAGAGUGCCUUGGUGGAACACCCAUUUUCACCCAGUAACUUCGAAGCUGCUUCCUUGAGGUGUUUCAUUCUGUUUCGAACACCUUUACCCUCUUCACCUUCCAUUAGAACCUUAACAGCCUUUGCGAUCUCGUCUUGGCAAACUAAACCGUUUUCAUUGGGUUUUGGUCUCAAUGCAACUUUAAUAUCCUCAAUUAGCAUCAGGGCAUUCAUCUUCUGUUCCGCGUGGAGUGGCCAUGCGAUUAGCGGCACCCCAUUCACGACACUUUCAAGAGUCGAGUUCCAUCCACAAUGGGUCAAAAACCCACCUGAAGAGCCGUGGCUCAGCACCUGAGCCUGUGGUGCCCACGAUGCCACCACUAGCCCCCGUCCUUUGGUUCUCUCGAGAAAUCCCUUGGGUAGAAAAUCAAAAGGGUCCUUCUCACUCUCUACGCUGAAAUAUGUGGCGUUUGCAACCGCAUCAUUUGGACUUCUCACCACCCAUAGAAAUCGCUGCUCACUCAUUUCCAACCCCAAAGCCAACUCAUGUAUCUGGUUAUAAGAAAGGGUCCCCCCGCUCCCAAAUGAGACAUACAAAACCGACCCAUGUGGCUGAUCGUCUAGCCACUUCAGACAAUCCGAACCAUCAUCCACUUUACUGGGGUCAAUGUUAACAAGUGGCCCAACCGGAUAAACUGGAGGCUUACCCGGUUCUUUCUCCUGCAAAGCCUUUAUUGCACCCGCUUCCAAGUCCACGAAACUGUUGACCAUAAUUCCUUCAGCCAAUCUAUACCGCUUUGUAUGAUGAAGAAGCCACUUGUAAGCAUCGUUUUUCCUGUCUUGAGUCGGGUCCAACAAUUCUUUACCGUGAAUCGGUAUGCACCCUGGAAUUCUCACCAGUUCCGGCCGGUCCCUGUAUUCGCAUGGAACCAUUUGGUCGAGCUUUGGUAAGUAAAGAAACAGAGACAAAGUCAUGGCCGUGGCAGGGAAAAAUAUAUAGGGGGAAACAUUGAAUUCUCUCGCAACAUCGAAUGCGUCAGUCCCGAAAAGAUCAACCACCAAAGCAACUAGGUUAGUUUUAUCAACCAUAGACUUGAAAGCAUCCCGAAGGAAAGAAAGGGAACGAGCCAGGGUUAAAGAAAUGACAGUUUCAAUCUUUGAAUCCAGGGGAAGGUCAGACAAGUCAGCAGGAUGAAGAAAGAUAUGAGUAAUGGAGGUGGGAAGAGAGUCAAGAACUGAUUUUUGAGCUUUAGAAGGAGAAUCAUUGGUGGGGAUAACAAAGGUGACAAUGAAGUUGUGUUGGUGAACGAGUGACCUGGCGAACUGAACGAGUGGAAUGAGGUGACCCAUUCCAGGACUCGGCAGAAUGGCUAUAUGGGGUGUUUGCAACUUUGCCAUGAAAAUGAAAACUAAAACGGAACUACUCUUUCUUGCCUUCCUUUCUCUACUGUUUAUAGGGUGUAGUUUUUGGCACGAAGGCGAAAGAAGAAAGCUGAGGUUUACAUAGAAUACUGAGAGUUAUUUUGUUUGGGUAAACUAUGUUGACUCUAUAAUAGGUAGUUUCUUAUUUUUAUUUUUUUAAAGUUAAUUACUCUAAAUAAGAUGUUAUGCGAAUUAGUCACUAUUGUUAAAAUUUACGGUUUUUUUAACAGAUUGAUAAUACGAUACAUUAACACGUUAGAUAAUUGACACAUAGACCUCUCUAUAAUUAAUCUAAAAUUUUUCUCCUAAACUUUAAUAAAAAAUUAACAAAAGAAAAAAUAUCACAUCUCAGUCAUGUCAAUAAUUUAUUAAAAGAAAACGAAAAUUAAUUUACACUGUCGAAACUAUUUUUUUGAAAAACAAAAAAUUUAGUUUGUCGACUUUAAAAAAUGAAAAUUGGGAGUCGCCACCAAUCUUUUAUUAAGGUGUGAUUAGAUCACCUAAAAAACGGCUUUGGUCUACGAGUUUUAGAAAAACGGAUCCGGGAGUCAGUUACGUUCGAGGAAGGAUUAGCACCCUCGUAACGCCCAAAAAUUGGUACCUAGUUAAUUAAUUAAUGUCUUAAUGUCGAAAAUUUGAAAAAUAUAAUCCUUAGCAAAAAAUCUUAAACGUUACGUAUUAAGACCCUUAUCUUCUCAGAGAAAGAAAAUGCCACACCCAAUGCGUUAGGGCACGACAUUCUAAUUUCCUCAAAAAUGAAUUAGGCCAGAAUACUUGUGUAAUAAAAAUUUAAAAGAAUAUCCAUUUAUUUAAGAUUUAAGAAAUCGCGGCCCAAUACGUUAGGACACAAUUCCUCCAAAAUCCCAAACUCGGAAUAUUUCCUUUAUUAUUUUUUAGAAAAAAUCUUCAUUUCGAGAAAUCAAUGCGUCACAUCCAAUACGUUAGGACACAACGUGUUGAAUUCGCAAUAAUGAGUUCUUAUUUUUUUGAUUAAAGAGAAAUGCUCGAUUGUUAGAUUUAACGAAGAAAAUCGGAACCCAAUACGUUAGGGCUCAAUUUCCUUGAAAAUCCUAAAUACAAGCAUUAUCUCAAUUUUGAAAAUUUUGAAAUCAAGUGAAAAAUGAUGUGAUGCUACAUUAAAUAUACAAUGCAAUAAUAAAUAUUACGAUGGCAUAGAAAUAAUAUGAAUAAAUGAAUAAACAAAAUCGAUAACAAUAAUCCAUGACAUGCAAAAUAUUAAAUGUAAACUCAAUUAUAUAACGAAAGGAGGAAAGCCAACCAAAUAAAUGAAGAAAAGAAUAUAUAUAAUAUGAACAUAGAAAUUAUGAAGAUUAAAAUAUACAUAUAAUUUACAAAUAAAUUUUUGGGUUAUGGAAUGUAUAUAUAUAUGUAAUACAUAAUAUUUAUGAAUAUAAAGAAAAAUAGAUAAACAUAUAUAGAUUAUAAAAUAGGUAUUUAAAAAUAUAUAUAUUUGAGCCUUUUUUUUUAAAAAGAAUAAAUAUCCAUAUGGAUAUAAACAAAACAUUUGUUAAAAAUAUAUAUACAUAUGUACAUAUAAAAAAAUAAUGAUAAUAAUAAUUACAUUAUAGAAAAUAUACAUAUAUAUAUAUAGGAAGAUAAAUGGAUACAUAAAAAGUAUAUAUAUAUAAAAUAUUAAAUGAUAAUUACAAUAUUAAAAAGUAAAUAUAUGUACAUAUAAAAAUAUUUGUUUAAAAAUAAAUAAAUAAAUAAAGACAACAAAUAUAUAUAUAAAUAAAAACUAAUUAAAAAUAAAAGAAAUAAUUACAUUAUGGGAGUUAAUUAAUUUUAAAAAAAGAAAAAAAACUAAAUUGAACUGAAUAUGAAAAUCUGGGGGAAAAUCUGCAAAUAAAUAAAAUCCAAAGGAUUAAAUUGAACACGCGAAUUAUAUAGAGGGGCUGGAAGGGAAAUUUUCUCCUCUCCUCUAAAACGGCGUCGUUCCAACGGGGCUAAAUUGAAAUUGAAAGCAAAUUAAAGGGCUAAUUCUAAAAAGAUAAAAAAAAACUAAUUGUAAAACAUUAAAAAGGUGCGAAUAACUCAUAGGGCUCGAAGGGAAAAAUAUCUCCAUCCUUUGAAACGCGUCACUUUAUUAGGGCUAAAUAAAAUAAAUAAAUAAAAUUCGCAGCGGUAUCACCUUCUUCCUUUUUUAAAAUCGUAAAUAAGUAAAAAAUAAGCGAAAAAGAAAAAAAACAGUAAACCACCUUUAAAAAACUGCCAAUCGUUCUCUCUUUUUUUAUUAAUUCCCUCUUUUCUUUUCUCAAUGAAGGGAGAGACCUCUAUUUAUAGUUGAGCCUCCUCAAAUCCAACGAUACAAAUCAAUUAUAUCAACGGCUAGGAUUAAAGGGUAUCUACAAAUUAAAUCUCUAAGAUUACAAAAUCAUAUCAUAUCUAAGAUUGCAUAUCCUCGAAGAUUAUGUUUCCAUAUGUGAGCCCGGGCUAAAAUUGGGUAUUACAUACACAAUUAAUACAUUUAAAACAACUAAAUUAAAAAUAAAAAUUUAGAAUAAUCAAAAUAUAACAAAUUCAAUUUUAUAAUAAUGAUGAUGUUUGUCUGUUUGUUGUUGGCGGUGGGAUUCAUUGUAUAAAUACUAGGACGAGAUUUCAAUGAUACUAUCCAUAUGCAUGUAUGCAUGUAUGAGAUGGUGAUGUCAGUGGAUUAGGUUAGUAAUAAAACUUCUUCUAUACAUUUAAUUUAUUUGCAUUUACACAUUCUGCUGUAUCAAAAUAAUCGGCUAUAAGUUAAAUAGGGAAAUUUCUAACAUAAUAUUAAUAUUUUUAAUAUAUUAGAUAUUUUGGUAUAAUUAAAACUUUAUUUUUUAAUGGAUACUAAUAUUUCUAACGUGUAUUAAAAUUUGUAAUUAAAUAUUAAGAUUUCUAAUGUAGUACCACUAUUUUUAACGAAAAUUGUUAGAUAUUUUAGUAUACCAACAUUUGUAAUGUUAUACCUAUAUUUAUAACAAUAUAUGUAAAUCUCAAACCAAAUACCAAAAUUUUUACCCGAUACCAAAAUUUCUAACUACUCUAAUCAAAUACCAAUAUUUUUUACGGAUACUAAAAUUUCUAACUAAAUACAAAUAUUUCAGAUGAAUACCAAAAUUUCUAACUAAAUACAUAAAUUUCUAAUGGAUGCCAAAAUCAAAAUUUAUAAUGGAUAACAAAAUUAUAUAGAAUAUAUAAAAAAAUAUAUAAGACUCGUUAAAAAAUUGUAAAAAGAUGUUACAACUAAAAAAAUGUGAAAAAUUAAGAAAAACUACAAAAUUAAUCAUCUUUCUUUCACAUAUACUCUCAUAAGCAUUUCAACAUUUCUCAUUUUCAUCAAACAAAGUAUGAAAUUUAUUAAAAAUUCAAAAGACAAGAAAAAGAAGAUAGGCCUAAUUGAAUGGAGAAAAGCGUAUGAAACAUAACAUCAUCAUACAUUCAUUUAUAAAAAAAUUAUUUUAUGGACCCUUUCCACCACAUUAUUCAUGGUCCCUUUCCAAUAAUUUAUUACAUUUAGAUAAUUUUUUUUCAUAUCGUUGACACAUAUUAACAAUAUUAACUAUUGAAAUUUAGAUAACUUAUUUAAUUAAUAAAUUUAUGAUUGAAAAUUUAUUUAUUAAAGAUUAUUUGUAUUAAUAAAAUAUGAUUAAGUAUGUAAAUUUUAAAUAUUUCAUUGAAACAAUGUCUGAAUUAAAAUCUAUUAUUUUAAUUCUCUUAAGAAUAUAAUCAAUCUACUACAAUUUGAGAAAAGUAGUUGCUAUCCUAAACUAAUUUAAUAAGCAAUAUACUUUAUACUUUAUUAUUGUUAUUAUUUAUGCUAUUAAUAAAAUUCUUAACGAGUUAAUUAGGUAUCAAUUCGGUUAAAAAUUAUGUAAAUGUCUUUUCAUAAUUAAAAUAAGUCAUAUUAUUUAAGGGCAUUUUAGUUUUUUUUUUUAACAAAAAUCAAGAAAAAUAUGCAUAUGGUGAAAUUUUACUCACGCCAAUCGGAGUAGUAAAACUUUAAAUUUACUAUUCAAUCAAAUUUUUAUUUUGAUAUUUUUGAUAUAUUUUUAAUAUGCACAAUUUAUUAUCUUCACCAUUUGUAUAUCUAUAUUAUAAAUAAAACCCCUGAUUGAAUUGGUGGCACGGGUUAACCGAGUUGGUACUCAAUUAAUAAAUUAUGGAAAUGUCCUUCCAUGAUUAAAACAAAUCAUAUUAUUUGAGAGUAUUUUAGUCCUUUUAUUUUAACAAAAACCAAGAAAAAUAUGCAUAUGGUUUAAAUUUCGUUUUACUCAUAAUUUAAUCUAAACUUUUGUUGUAGUAUUGUAUAUAUUUUAUGUGUUGUUACAAUCAAUUCCAUACUUUUCAUUGUUUAUGGUAUAUUAUUUUUAAAUGCAUACACAUGUGACAAGAUUUCUAAAAGAAAUUAAAAACAAAGCACAAAAAUUCAAUUUUAUAACAAUUAUUAUUAUGAAAUGUUAUAAGUCUUGCAAUUUAAAUUAUGUUUUUUCAACGCUUAAUUUCUAAUUUUCUACUAUAUUAAUGUAAAAGUAAUGUCAACCAUGCUCUCAUUCUGUCACCGUCCUUUUUCUUCUCUCUUUGCCUUUAUUUCUUUUUCUUUUAUAGAAAUGGUUGAAUUUUGUUUUUGGUGUCCUCCUUUGUUUUUUCUUUUACAUUUUAGAGAACUGUUAUGUCUAAAUUUGAAGUAACGUCCAUCAUGCUCUCCUUUUUGCCGCGUGUCUCCUUUGUCCUCGGCUUUUUAAUAAAUAAUCUAAAAAUAUUAAAAUUUAUCCUAGUAUCAUAUUUUUUAGAAAAAUGAUUUAGUUUUUACAACCAUUUUACUAAAAAAACGUCUAUUUCCUACUUUAUUUAUAAAAAUAGGUUACUUUAAACUUCAUUUACCGAAUGAGCCAAAAAACUCAAAACGCGCAUAUAUGGAAGCGUUUUAAGGGAAAAUUUCAAAAAAGUGCACUGAUGGGGACACGCUUUACCCGUGUCAACAAAAACACGCUGAUGUGGGCGCGCUUUUUCCCGUUCUAGGAUUAAAUUUUUAAAAAAAAAGGUUUUUUUAAAUAUUAUAAAAAUAGACCAAUUUUUUUUUAAAAAAAUUUACAAGAAUAAGCUUUUAUAAAGACCCAAAGUGGCAACACUAUUUUUUUUUAAGGUGUCACCAAUUAAUAUGAAAACAAAACUUACAAAGCAGAUCUUUAUAUAGACUCAAAGUCUCAUUUUCCUUCUUUUCUUAAGCAAUGAUAGAUAUGAUAUAUAUGUAUAUAUAAACUCAUGAAUAGGUCUGCAGCUUGUUCCUAAACAAUAUGGGAUUCCUUCCUCUUUUAACUAACAACAUAAGAUUAAAAGCUACACUAUAUUUUAUAUUUUUUUACUUAUAGAGUUUAAUUUUUUUACAAAAAGUUAACAUUUGUUACAUUAUAAAUAAAACUUUUAAACUCUAUAAGUAAAAAAAAUAUCAAAUAUAAAAUGAGUAAGGUAAAAUAUUAAAAAAUAAAUAUUUAAAAAAUUAAUAAUAGUUGAGUGAUCAUUUUGUAAGUUUUUAUAAUUUGAUAGCCAAAAAAUCAUAGUUAAGUGACAACUAAUUUAAUUUAAUCUAGAUAUAAAAAUAUGAAAAAUAAUUAUUAUAUUUUAUGUAUAUUAUAUAUUUCUAUAAAAAAACUUAUUUAACAUAAUUAUAUACUAUGUUUAAAUAGAUUACCUAUCUAGUCAAAAUACAUCUGAAAUAAAUUUAUCAGCAUUCAUUAGGUGAUGAAAAUUAAAUUAAAAUUAGGAUUAAAAAAUUAAUGAGUAUCAUAAAAUAUUAAAAAUAAAUAAAUAUUUAAAAGAUAUAUCAAUUUUUUAAAUUUACAUAAAAAAAUACAAUUUGAAUACCAAAUACUCACCAUUUAUUUAUUAAUCAAACAUUCAUAAUAUAAAAUAAAUAAAUAAAUAAUUUAAAAGUAUAACUUCUAAAUUUAAAUAAUGAAAAAUUAUUUUAAAAAUUAGAAUUGUAUGGAUAUUAACUUCAAACAUUUAAAAUUGAAUAGAAGAUUAUUGCAUGUACAAGUUUCAUAUGUGCAAUUUAUUCUUUUUUUAAUAGUCCUUUUGUAUAUGCUAACAAUUCUAAAAUGCAACAAGAUUAAAGAUCUCAAAAGAUAAUUUUAUAAUAUGAGAAAAUGUUAACAAAAUAUAAAAAAUAGAAAUUGUUUUGUAAAAAAAUUUUAAAAUAUAGUGUACCCUUUAAUCUUAUGUUGUUGGGUUUUUUUACAGAAAUAAAACAAAAAAUUUAAAAAAAAAAACAAAAUAGUAUCUUUUUUUUUUAUUUACCAAAAUGGUACAAAAAAAAAGCAGUUAUAAAAAAAAAGGAGACGAAGUGACAGGACCCUGGUGGAGGGCCUACCACAGGUGGCACCACUUUACCAUUAUAAUAGUCCCCAAUUCACUUCACCUGAAGGAGAAGAAAGAAAAGAAGAAGAAGAAGAAGAGGGCAGUGACGGAAAAAAGAAAAGAAAAAGAGAGAAAGAGAAAGGAGAAAGAAAGAGAAGAAAAAAAAUAGAAAAAAUAAGGUAUUUUAAAAAAAAUAAAUUAUCUUGUUAUUAUGUUUUUUUGUAUAUUUUUUAUUGUUUUUUUGUUGUUAGUUUAGUUAUUAUUGUUAGUUAUUAGGAUUAAUAAAAACCCUAAUUAUUAUUUUAGUUAGUAUUGUUAUUGUUAGUUUUUAGGGUUUAGUUGUUAAUAAUUAUUGUUACUUAGUAUUAUUGCUAGUAAAAAACUAAUAUUAUUAUUAUUGUUAGUUAUUAGGAUUAGUAAAAACCCUAAUUAUUAUUUUAGUUAGUAUGAUUGUUAGUUUUUACAUUAUAUUAUUGUUAGUUAUUAUUUUUAGUAAAACUCUAAUUAUUAUUUUUAGUAUUAUUUUUAGUAAAAAACUAUUAUUAUUAUUAUUGUGUUAGUUAUUAGGAUUAGUGGUUAAAUGUCGUUCAUGUACAAAAUGAUAACUGAAAUAGUAUGAGCUUAUAAAUGAAAAAAUUGCAUAUUGAAACAUUAAUUUUUUUAUUUAAGUAAUUUAUUUACUGUUCGAAAUUGUUUUUUGAAAUUUUGUUUAUUUUUUAACAGAUUGAAUAUUGAAGAUGGAUGAUAAGUUUUUUGUAUGCGUUUAUUUCGAUGGAAUCAUCUUGACAAUAACUGUUGGAUGUAUAUUUGAAUGUCGGCAACAAAUAGCAAUGAGAUUUAAUAGAAAUAUCUCGUUGGAUGAUAUGAAGGGAAGGAUUAAUGCAAAAAUUGUUAGACAUUGUGGGAAAAGGAUAUCAAAAAUUUUCUACAAGUUUUCAGUUUCGACAAAUCCGAUCAAAUUUACCAAAAUGGAACUUGUAGAUGACGAAGACGUGGAGACAAUGAUCGCUCUUUACUGUGGGAAUGUGAGUGACAAAAAUGCACCGAUUCACUUAUUUGUUGAGUUAGCCGGUAUGGAGCAAAAUGAAGAUGUCAAUGCAUAUGGUGAAGAACACGGAGCUCAAGAAUCGUACAUGGUGGCUCUAACAUCGUACGUUGAUAGUGAAUCGACUAUAGGUGGGAUCGAUAUCUAUCUCAAUAUUACACCCGAUAUUGAUGUGGUUGUUGAUGAUGGAUACGAUGGUAGCGAUCAUUGUGAUCAAGAGGUCAAUAGUGACAGUGAUCCCGAUGUGGAUGAUGUACCUGAUGAUAUUGACGAUGAAGAUGUGAAUAACGAUGGAAACAUUAACGCGUCUUCGGUCGGGGACCAGAUGCGACGUAUUUUGAUACACAAUAAUCCUGGGCCACACAUGUCGCUCAUAGACCCCGACGCAGCGCAUGUGUCUGAGUUCUCGGAGUACCCUGAAAUAAUUCCUGCGCACAGGCUGCCCGUAAAUUCUGAUUAUGAGGAGUUAUUCGUAGGCCAGAGAUUCGAAAGUAAAGAAAAGUAUGUAUUUGCUAUUAAACGGUAUAACAUGAACAUAUCACUGGAUUAUAAAGUCGCAGUGUCUAAACUGAUAAUAUAUAUUGGGGAGUGUUAGAAGGCAAUAGAAGGCUGCAAUUGGCGGGUACGAGCUGCAUUCAUUCAAAAUUCACAGAUGUGGGAGAUACGAAAAUUUGUUGGGCCUCAUACAUGCACAUCAACACGUAUGGUAGAAGAUCAUCGAAAAUUUGAUUCGAAAACUAUCUGUACGUGUAUCAUGCCAAUGGUGAAGGACAUGCCGACCAUUAAAGUUUCGAUACUGAUUACCGAAAUGCAUGCACGAUUCCAGUAUCGAGUAUCAUAUAGAAAGGCGUGGAUAGCUAAACAGAUGGCAAUGAAGCAAUUGUAUGGGGAUUAUGAUUCGUCGUAUAACGAGCUACAAAGAUGGAUAGCUGCUAUGCGGGAGUACGUACCGGAGACUGUGAUUGAGUUACAGACAAGACCUUAUUACGGCCCGGACGACCAAUUACAGCCGGAAAAAAGAAUUUUCCAUCGGAUGUUCUGAACGUUUGAUCCAUGUGUGCGGGCAUUUCCCUACUGCAAGUCUUUUGUGCAGGUGGAUGGGACCUAGUUAUAUGGAAAAUAUACACAGAUCCUACUUCUUGCGGUUGCUCAAGACGACAAUAGAAACGUGCUCCUGAUAGCAUUUGCCAUCGUAGAUAAUGAGAGCUUGGAAUCUUAGGAAUUCUUCCUUACCAACCUGCAAAGGUAUGUUAUUAGCAACGAUAAUAUUUGCAUCAUCUCCGAUAGAGGGAAAGGUUUAAUUGCAGCAAUUAGGCAUUCCGGUGUGCCAUGGAGAUCCGUUUAUUGCAUCAGUCACAUUGCGGCUAACUUCUAUCGAAAUUAUAAGAAUGCAGUCUGAAAGAGACAAGUAAUGGCAAUGGGUAAAUGAUAACCUUAUCUUUUCAAUAUAAGUUGUAAUGUUUUAUGUUAUCGAGUUACUGGAACUUAUCUUUUCUUAAUACGUAUACAGCGUACGAGUUAGAGCCACAUAUUUUCGGCCAAAGAAUGAUUCGACUUGAGAAUGACAUGGAGGGUCAAACAAAUACAUCUUUCCGACAGUGGUUAGGUACAAUGGAGCCGUGGAAAUGGGCUCAAAGUUUUGACGAGGGCUUUCAUUAUGGUCAAAUGACCACAAACUUAGUGGAGGGGGUCAACGCUGUGUUGUUGAAAACACGACAUCUUCUGAUUGCAUCUGUCUUCUCGGCUACAUUCUACAGGUUGGCUACCUUGAUGCCAAGAAUGAGUCAGCAAUAAGUCGACCAGAUGGAGGCGGAACACGUGUUUGUCGAAGAUGUUAGGGAUGCAAUGGUUGCAAACCGUCGGAUGGAAAGGUUGAUGAAUGUAGAAAUAUAUUCAUGACGUCUGGAAACGUUUUGAGCCCGAGCCCGUAAAUUUUCCUUUCAGCCAUGUAAAUUUCAAACCCGUAAAAUUUGACUCAUCAUCGUUGGGCGAGUCUCCUAGUAGGCUAUAACAUAGUGUAGCUGGCUCAGCAAAUGCACUUACUCCCGUUAUGGGACUCCCGUCAAUUGGGAGCCCAAGCUGCAGUGCAACAUCCUCUAAAGUCACUGUGCACUCCCCACACGGAAAAUGAAAAGUGUGGGUCUCCGGGUGCCACCGCUCUACUAGUGCAGAUAUUAAAUCGUAUCGCAAGUUGAACGUUCGGAUCAAUGCUGCUGACCCGAAUCCAGCUUGCUCCAAGUAGGGCAUCAAUCGUUCAUCCGGGGGAUAUCCUAUACCAUUCACCCGGCCCCUUAAUACGCAGUACGAGCCCUGAUAGUGUUAAAUUACAGAAAAUAAAUAUUAGGAUAACAUGAUUUAUUUCUAUAUAUUACGUAUAUCCUUUUCUAAUAGAACUCGUGAUUAACAAAGAAUAAUAUAUUACCAUAUUAUUAGCCACAUCAGAUAUGUGAGGAUCGUCGUUAAUCAAUCGAGCCAUUGCGAUGCUUGCAACUUCAAAACAAAUUUAGUAAAAAACCCUUAGUUUGGCCAUUUGUUCGUAUUUUUCUUUUUUCCCAGAUUUUAUUACUUUCAAAAAAUAUACUAUUUUCAUAUUUUAUUAUUUUAUAAUAUUUUAGUACAUAAUGUUUGAAAUGUAUUAAUUUAGUGUGUUUUUUUUUAUAUAAAUUUAGUAAAAAACCCUUAUUUUGGCCCUUUGUUUGUAUUUUUCUUUUUUCUCGGAUUUUAUUACUUUUAAAAAAUAUAUUAUUUUUGUAUUUUAUUAUUUUAUAUUAUUUUAGUACAUAAUGUUUGAAAUGUAUUAAUUUAGUGUGUUUUUUAUAUAAAUUUAGUAAAAAAACCCUUAUUUUGGCCCUUUGUUCGUAUUUUUCUUUUUUCCUGUAUCUUAUUACUUUCAAAAAAUAUACUAUUUUCGUAUUUUAUUAUUUUAUAUUAUUUUAGUACAUAAUUUUUGAAAUGUAUUAAUUUAGUGUGUUUUUUAUAUAAAUUUAGUAAAAAACUCUUAUUUUGGCCCUUUGUUCGUAUUUUUCUUUUUUCCCGGAUUUUAUUACUUUCAAAAAAUAUACUAUUUUCGUAUUUUAUUAUUUUAUAUUAUUUUAGUACAUUAUGUUUGAAAUGUAUUAAUUUAGUGUGUUUUUUAUAUAAAUUUAGUAAAAAAACCAUUAUUUUGGCCCUUUGUCCGUAUUUUUAUUUUUUCCCGUAUCUUAUUACUUUCAAAAAAUAUACUAUUUUCGUAUUUUAUUAUUUUAUAUUAUUUUAGUACAUAAUAUUUGAAAUGUAUUAAUUUAGUGUGUUUUUUAUAUAAAUUUAGUAAAAAAAUCCUUAUUUUGGCCAUUUGUUCGUAUUUUUCUUAUUUUUGAAUUUUAUUACUUUCAGUAAAUAUACUAUUUUUUUUAUUUCUUUUCGUAUUUUAUUUUUCAUAAACAUAUCUUUUCAGUAUUUUAUUUUUAAUGCUAUUUUUGUAAAAAAAAACUCAUUACAACAUGCUAAAUAAAUUUCAUAAAAAAAUACAUGCUAAAUAAAAUAAUAAAACAUAUAAUGUACAUAACAUGAGUUUUUUACACAAAUAAUACAAAAAAAAUUACCUUUCCUUAUUCUUUUUCUUUCUUUUUCCUUCCUUCCCUCCCUCUUCUUCUUCUCCUUCUCUUUCUCUUUUUCCUGCGCCUCUUCUCCUUUCCUUUUCUUUCUUUUUCUUUCUUCUCCUUUGCUUUUCUAUCUUCUCCUUCAGCCGAAUCUGGGGACCAUUAUAAUGGGUGGUGCCGCCUGUGGCAGUGGCACCUUUGGUGCCGCCUCUGCCACUGGCACCUCUGGUGCCGCUUGUGGCAGGCCUUCCACUAGGAUCCUGUCACUUCAUCCUUUCAUUUUUUUAACUGUUGUGUUUUUUUUUAGUUUUUGUACCAUUUUGGUAAAUAAAAAAAGUGAUAUUAUUUUGGUAUUUUUUUAAUUUUUGGGAAUUAUUUCUGUAAAAAAAACCCUAUGUUGUUAGUUAAAAGAGGAAGGAAUUUCACAUUGUCUAGGAACAAGUUGCAAACAUAUUCAUGGCUCUAUAUAUACACAUAUCUCACAUCCCAUAUUGCUUAAGCAAACAAGGGAAAUGGGACUUUGGAGCUAUAUAAAGAUCUAUUUUGUAAGUUUUAUUUUCAUAUUAAUUGUUGACAUCUUAAAAUAAAAAAAAUGUUGUUAUUUUGGGUCUUUAUAAAGGUUUAUUUUAGUAAAUUUUAAAAAAAUGGUCUAUUUUUAUAAUAUUUUAAAAAAAUUGACCUUUUUUAAAAACUUAGUCUAAGAACGGGCAAAAGCGUGUCCCUGUCAGUGCGCUUUUAUGAAAUUUCCCCUUAAAAAUCUUCCACGUAGGCGCGUUUUGAGUUUUUUAACCCAUUCCGGUAAAUAAAAUUUAAAGUGGCCCAUUUCCGUAAAUAAAGUAAGAAAUGAGCAUUUUUUAGUAUAAUGGUCAGUUUCUACACUGUCAAUGGGUGCCACCAUUUUCCCAAUGCGACAUCACUCCAAAAUGUGACAAUCAUUAUCUCAUAAUUACAAAAAUCUUUGAAUGAAAAACAAAUCAAUUUUUUUCUGUCACUUCCCAAAGCGGCACUCGUAUGAAUUUUCCCCUGCAUCAUAUUUUUACUGGUAUUUUCGAAGGUAAAUGAAAAAAAAAUAUUUUUUUAUUAAUUUUUGUUGCCGCCUCCUUUAAUGGAGGCACCAAAUUGAAUAAUUUUUUUUGUUACAUGCUUUUAUGUGGUGGCACCAAAUUGGAUUAAAAAAAUAUUUAUUGGUAUCGUCUCUUUCAAUGGAGCCACCAAUACCAGUAAAAAUAAAAAAAAUUCUCUCUAGUGUUUACUCCAUAUGUGGCGGCACCAUCAACUACAUAUACCUCCAGCACCAACAUAAAAAGUAAAGGCCUUAAAUUUUUUUUUUGUUAUGUUGAAAGAAAAAAAAGAGAGAAAUAAAUGUGUUAUGUUGAAUGAAGGGGGAUAUUUAUUAUUAUGGUGUUGUUUUACGGAAAAAUUGUUAGGCUAUCACCCUUAUAUAUAAACGACUCGAAAAAUAUAAUGUCAUUUUUAGGGUAGUAAUUACGCCAUUAAGAGUUUUUGUUGACAAUGGUUACGCAACUAAUAGUCCAUCCCCAAUCGAAAUACCCCAUUUAACACUAAGGGAGAUGGGGCUUCUAAUUGGUAGUGGUUAUGCGAUCAAGAGUUCUUGUUGACAGUGAUUACGUGGUCAUGACUGUAAAUUGGUUAUGCUGUCAAAGGAGAAGCGUCAGCGUAAAAAGUGCUCUCAGGCGGGGGAAUUUUUAGCGGAAUGUUGUACCCCAAAAGCAACCAAAUGUGAAUACUGUGGGGAUCCUAAUCGACCUGAUUCAAGCAAAAGUUGAUGGAAUCGGGCAAAAUAUUGAUUUUACUAGAUUAUUAACUUUAUAAUGUGAUAAUUUUAAUUGAAUUUGUAUUAUUAUUGUAAUAUUUAAAAUGUUAUUGUGUUAAGCAAUAUUUAAUUCAUUACUUAUGCAUAUAAAAUAUGAUCAGUGGAAGGAAAAAUUAUUUAGAUGAUGAGAAAAAUAAAUAUAUUGUUUCAUAUAAUCUAAUACAUAAAAAAAAGUAUGUUUGCUUUUACAUUUUUUUUUGCUUUAAAAAAAUGUAAGGUUUCAUAUAAUCGGAUGAUAAAUAGUAAAAGGGAAAAAAUAUAUGCUAUAUGAUGGGAGUUUAAUAAAAUGUAAGGUUUCAUAUAAUCUAAUAUAUUCUUCUUCUUCUUCUUCUUCUUCUUGUGUUUUAUUGGGUUUAAGUUUGUACUAAGAUUUGAUUAAUUUGUUUUAUUAAUGUUUUUGAAGAAUCUUAUAUCGGUUUUUCGUAUUUAAGGUAUAAGCAUAUUUUUUAUAAUUUGGUUAUUUGAGUUUAUUUAAUGUUUGGAAAAUUGUGUUUACUAAUAUAAUUAAUAUGUUAUAUUAAUUUAUUUAUUAUUUUAAAAUAAUGAUUAACAAUAUUUUAAAUAAUAAUUGUGAUAGAAAUCAGGAUGAGUUCACUUAUCAGAUCAGACGAUCACACUGCAAGAAAGAUCUAUGAGAAGAUAAAAAAAGUAUUAUGUCUUACCGAGAAGUUGAAAUGCUAAAUUUGGGGAAUUAUUCUUUAGUUGAUCAAUUUUUUAUUGACAAGAUGAGUAUCGUGUUUUGAAGGCGUAUACCCAUGGACCGGGUUACCGUCCUGACGACCGUAUAAUGUCAUACUUAGAAAUGGUUGGAUUUGGAUCGGCUGGUUUAAUUGAGAUGUUUGAGCUGCAGCCUAACUUAAUAUCUGCAUUGGUUUAGUGCUGGCGGCAGGAGACCUAUACAUUCCAUUUACCGUGUAAGGAGUGCAUCAUCACACUCAAGGACAUGACACUACAACUCGAUCUACCCGUGAAUGGUUAUGUGGUCACUGGUUUCAGUAAAGUGCCCGAACCUGUAGUUUUGUGGUACUAUUUGCUUGGUCGAUCGCCAAGUGAUAGGGAGAAUAAAUUUACCAGUUUGAAAUUUGUCUGGUUAAACAAAAAUUUCAAAAAUGUAUCGAGAAAUGCCGCAGAGUCGAACGUUAUAUGCAUUGUUUGAGCAUUUAUUAUGCAGCUGAUAGACGGUGUUAAUGUCGAACACGAACAAUAAUAGAGACAACAUUAUGUACUAGCCCCCAUUGUCAGAUUUACGCGCCGCUCGGGAGUAUAGUUGGGGGUCGGGAAUAUUGGCAACACUGUAGCGUGAGCUAUGUCAGGCUACAAAGCACAAUACGCAAGAAAUAGGUGGUUGUCUAAUACUGCUGCAAUCAUGAGCGUUGUAUAAGAUGUUGUUUUUAGCAUCAGUGGGUCACCAACCACCAGUGUGAUCGAUUAUAAAUAGGUAAGUAAAUAUUAUGAAUAACCCAAUCAAUAAAUAAUUUUUUUUGGUAAAAAUUUAUUUGUUAACAAUUUUCUUUUGUUGGCAAAUGACCUAUGUGCCCCACUAUAAAGAGGUCCGUACAGCUUGGGGUGUAUCGUCAAAUGAUCAAGGCUUAUUUCAGGGAGGAGGUGAAUUAUUUAUAAAAAUGUCAAGAAAAAUAGUAUCAUGUUUUUUAAUUGAUUACAUUAUUUCAUCACGGUAGUAUAACUAUGUUAAAUAUUUUACAGUUGAUGUGGAUGUCAUAUUCUGCGUCAGACAUUGUCGUUGUUAUUCCAUAGUGGACUCACGCACACUUAAUCGUGUGGUGCAUCGGCUCAUCUAAUUAUCGUACAACUGUUCCAACACCAUCUAUUUUGCCUACCAUGCUUUGUUGUACGGCAAACGGUACUGGAACUAAGCUUGCAUGUCAGCAAUGAUGACUGAUACAGAAAUGGUAGACAUGCCUUUCACCAUCGACAUGAUACAAUUGCAGAUUAUUUUCGCAUCUAGUUUGCGAUGAUCUUGUGUCAUACGUACGGACAUGCAUGUAUAGGGCUCUUCAAGUUUCCAAAUGCACCAUUGUUGAGUCCUCUGCCCCAAUGCGGCUCAAAUAUGCCAUUGGUAACCCUCCCCAGACCUCCAACAUUGUUCAACAUAAUGUCGGUGUAGACUUGAUAACUUUGUAGUCCACCAACACCUUCAUGUUGUACCGCUUGAUGGCUUGUAAGCAGUCCUGCUUAAUUGUUGCCCUAUGAACAAAUCUUUCGUUUCCAAAGAUGCCAUCAACCGGUGAGUAGGUAGUAUAUCUUCGUACUCGAGGAACCCUUCUUCAUCGGGGUCAACACUUAACAUGUUUACCCUAGGGUCAUUUCGUGUAAUAAUCCCACAACUCGAGUGCCCGACUUAAGGGGGUUGUAGAUUUUCACCUUUCUCUAUGCCUUCAUCAUUGAUAACAUCCGGGACUUCAUCUUGAUUGGGGUCACUAUAUUCUUCAUCAUUUUGGUGAGAAUAAAUAUUAUUAUCGAACCCUUCUUCAUCGUUUACAUUGGUGCCCCUCACCUUAGGAUGUAUCUUUAAACGACGGGUCAAAAUUGAGUUAUUAUACGUUGUCGACCCAUGCUGUGUGUUUUUAGCCCUUGUUUAUGGCCCUACAUAACAUGAUUGUUCUGUCCAUUUGACAUUGAGAUCAAAAUCAAACCCAUGUUGUUGACUUAAUGGAACGACAUUUCUAUGGGAUCAGGGUUGACUAACUUGGCAAACAAUUGAAUUUGUUCAAAUCAAACCCACCAUUGUGCCCAAGUCUUCUUCGUCUACAAGUUCUAUCUGUUGAAAUUUCAACGGAUUGAAGGAAAUUGGAAAUUUAUAGAAUAGCCUAGACAUUUUCCUCCCAUAAUGUCGAGUUAUUAUGGUAUCAAUCCUUUCUUUCAUUUCUUGCGCCCCUACAUUCUUAUCAAACCCCAUUCCAACCUUCUAACAAGAUUCAAAUACACAACUAAAUGCUCUUUCUAAAAUGACUUCGUCAAAAUGAACGUAAACGAUAAUUUGGUUAUUCAUUUUUUUAUAUAAUUUUUAUGCUACUCACUCCAACUAAAAAAAUAAGACUGCCUUUUUUUCAUUCUCUAAAAUACUGUCAAAAUGUUAUACUUGCAUUUUAAUUGUAAGGUAACAAUUGAAUUAAUUAUUUAAGCGGAUUGAAAUUGUUAUUAAUGGACACAAUAUUUAAUUGGUGUAUGUUUAAUCUUCUAAAGUAGAUGAGAGUUAAAUUAGCAAUGGUAUUAAACAAUACAUUAGUUUUGCGUAACUUGCAAGAUUAUUUUGAUUAAAUUGUUUCAAUAUAGAAAUAUAUUGUUACCUCACUUAAUAUUUAACUUGCUUAUUAAAAUUUGAUCGUUUGAAUUGAUAUAGAGAUAUGGUCAAGAGAUUAUUGAGUUUUAGUAGGUAAGUAUGUGCAUUAGUUAGCAAGUUACCGAAUUGCAGUGAAAUUUUUCGUAACAACAUGAACACAAUUUUAAUAAUUAUAAGUUAAAGAAUAAAAUUAAUCUAACACAUUUAUGUCAUAUUGAUUAAACAUUAUUUUCUUAGAAACUGUGCAUUGAAAUUUUUAAUUUUAUUUUCUUAGUUAAUCAUUUAGUUAAUUUAUAGUUUUUAUAUCACCUCUUUUCAAUCAAACAUAUUUUUCCUCACCAAUUUGUUUAAUUUUUACAUUUCAUAAAUAUUUUAUUACAUAGUUCCUGUAGGUACGAUAACUCGACAUUCUUAUCACUUUAUUACUUGAUAUGAUUGUGUACAUUUUCACAUUUUCAUUGUUCCAAUGAUCACAUUAAAAAGGAGGUGGAGAUGAAGCUUUGGAAAGGAAGAUACCUGAGAGAGAGAGGACCAGAGGAAAAAAGGGAGGAGAGAAUCAUAUAGAACUUCAGAGAAAAGAAAGAGAAAAUGAUAUUAAAAUAAAAUUUUAUACUUUUAUAGGUAAGUUUUUAAUAGUAUUUCUAAAUAUUUAAAUAUAAUAAAAUAAUUUUAAAUAUUACUUUUAGAUUUAUUUUUAAAUUUAAAAAAAAUUAAAUUUAUUGUUAAAUAAUGUUUUUAUUUUUAAAUAUAAAAUGUUAAAUUAUUUAUUUUCAAAUAUAAUUUUUUGAAAAAAUAUUUAUAAAAUUAUUUAGAAAUAAAACAUAUUUUUAUAAAUAAUAUAUUAAUUAUACUAUUAAAUAUUUUAUAUAUGUUACUAAAUUAUAAUAUUUAAUUAUAAUAUUAAAAUUUUCUAGAUAUAUUAUUUUUAUGAAUUAUAUUAAUUAAAUUAAAUUUAUAUAACAUUUAAUAAUUGAAUAAUAAAAAAACUAUUAUUAAAUUAUAUUUAAUAAUAAUUAUAUUAAAAUAUGAUUAAAUUAUUUAUUAUUUAUAUUAAAUUAAAUUAAAUAAUAAUCUUAUUAAAAUUUAAUAACAAUAAAUAUUUUUAAAAAAUUAACUCUCAAAAUUUACAAAUGAUCUCAAUUGAUCCUAAUUCUAAAAAAUUUAAAAAAUAUAUAUGAAAAUACAUAAAUAUUUCAAAAACAUAAUAAUAAAUUUUUUAAAAAAUAAAACCCACACUCCCUCUCUCUCUCCCCAAAUUUCUCUCUCACAAUAUCAAACGUGAGAAAGAUCCGCAACGGGCCUUACAAAAAUUUAACAAGGCGUCACAGCAGAAAGGCUUUACUCAUAACAGUGCCACCUAUGGAACCAUCCUUCACAAGCUUGCACAGUCCAAGAAGUUUCAAGCCAUUUACUCGUUACUUCGUCAAAUGACCUAUGAAACUUGUAGAUUUCAUCAAUAUAUAUUUAAUCAUAAUGAUGUUAAAAGAGAGGGAGAGAGAUUUUUUUUAAUUUUUAUUUAAUAUUAAUACAAAUAUUAAAUUCAUUAUUAUUUUUUAAAAUAUUUAUUUUUAUAUAUUUCUUUCAAUUUUUUAGAAUCAAGAUCAAAUUGAGACCGUUUGUAAAUUUUGAGAGUUAAAUUUGUUAUUAUACCAAUUUUUCAACUAUAUGUCUUUCUCCCAUUAGUGCAAUUAAUAGAAAUGAACUAAACAAUACAAUAUCGAUUAGUUGGAUGAUCAAUUUAAAAAAAAUCAUAGUUGAGUGAAAAAUUCUAUAAUUGAUUGACUAAUUUAAAAAAUUCAUAAUUGAAUGAAUAAAAAUAAUAAUAUCCAUAAUUAGGUGAAUUUACCCUUAAUUUUAUUACUUAAGUUGUAAUGAAAUCCUCACGCCAAUAAUGGAUAUGAUAUUUUUUACCAAAUAUAUAUACAUAACACUUGUCACGAAAUUUAAAACACUUCAGGAGUGGCAUAUCAAUUAGUUGAAAAAAAUGGUAUAUCUAUUAAUUACCUGAUACAAAUUUCUAAUUAUUAUAUAUACACGAAUAUUGAAAUAUUUUCACAAGCAAAAUUAUAUUUUUGUUAUUUUUAUCAGUAUUUAUUUAUUUUUAAUUUAAUUAAAAGAUAAGAGAUAACAAUAUAAUGUGAAAUUUUUUAUUUCAUUAUUAAUGCAUAAAAUUAUAAAUUUUCUAACUAAAAUGAUUAAUAAUUAAUAAUUAAUUUAAUUUUCAUCUUAACAUAUAUUUUAGAAAAAAUUUCUUAAUAAUUAAAAAAAAUCGAAUCUUCUAAAUUUGAUAGAUGGGAUUUUGAAAAAGUAUUAAAGAUAACCAACCAACUAUGUUUGAACACAUUUAGGGCACGUUUGGUUUGCUGUAAUGGAAUAGAGCCGUAAUGGAAUAGAGGCGUAAUAGGUAAUUCUUAUAUUUGGUUGAAUGGAAUGGAAUAGAGGCGUAAUGGUAUUCUUGUGUUUGGUUGAAUGGAAUAGAGGUGUAAUAGCAUAAGUAAAAAAACUAAAAUAACUAGAAUACCCUUAGCAAAAAAUUUUUUAGGUAGAUGAUUAUUGUUAUUGUUAUUAAAUUUUAAUAAGCUUAUUAAUAUAAAUAAUAUAUAAUUUAAUCAUAUUUUAACAUAAUUUUUAUUAAAUAUAAUUUAAUAAAAAUAUAUAAUUUAAUAAAAUAUAUGAAUUUACUAAAAUCAUAAUAUAUAAUACUAUAAAAUAUAUUUUAAAAGUCUUAUUAUUAAAUAUAAUUUAAUAAAAAUAUUAUUAAAUAUAAUUUAAUAAAAAUAUAUAAUUUGAUAAAAUUCUAGUAUUAAAAUAUUAUUAUAUGAAUUUACUAAAAUCAUAAUAUAUAAUACUAUAAAUUAUAAUUUAAAAUAAUUAUUAUUAAAUAUAAUUUAAUAAAAAUAUAUAAUUUGAUAAAAUUAUAGUAUUAAAAUAUUAUUAUAUGAAUUUACUAAAAUCAUAAUAUAUAAUACUAUAAAUAUAAUUUAAAAUAAUUAUUAUUAAAUAUAAUUUAUAAUCUAUUUAGAUAUUUUUAAACUGCAAUACAUAUUUUAAUGUGCUAAAAUAUCAUUAUUGGAAGAAAUAAUUUAAUUAUUCUACAAUAAAAGAAUAUUACGAGUAAUAAAUAACUUGAGAAUUAUAUUUCGCAUAAACAUAAUUUUCAUAUAUUAACAAAAUGUUAAAUGAAAUUCGUGAAAUUCUAUGUCAUAAUCCAUAUGUUAUACAGUUUUAGAACAUCAAAAAGUUAGAUGAUUGUAAUGACAUACCAUCCCAAAUUACAAACAGAAAAAGUUACGAAAAUAUCAUCAACAGAAAUAAGAAGUUUAAUGGUCAGCAAGAAAUCUUCUGACCCAUUCCAACCGCAUAUCAGAAGGUAAACUAAAGAAAACGAGCAUUUGAGUUGGAUGAUCUGAAAUUUUACUCAAUGCUCGAUACCGCUCAUCCACUGUUAAACCUUCUAUUUCACAUAAGGUUGAAUAUAAAUUUGUAGCUUUUUCUUGGAUGAUCUAGAAUUCUUCUGACUUCUGUUGAACUACCACAUCGGAGGCGAUACUCCUACUGAUUUGUUCGCCAAUGGCCCGCAUGUUUUCGGCCAAUAAAGUGGCAGCCUCAUUAAAUGAAGAAGAAAUAUUAUCACCUGCAUCAGAAUUCUUCUUUCUCUUCUUUGAAGAUGAGGAAUCCCCUUGGUUUGUAUCUCGUCGCGGCUCCGUAGCAGAAACAUCCAUGUCAUCUAAAUAGACGUCAGCUUCGCAGUCAUAGAAAUCGUUUCUUUCUUCAUUCAUAUCUGUAGUAGGUUCACCAUGAGCAUUUAUUUCUUCAAGAACAUCAGCGGCUAUUUGAGCAUCUUUCCCAGUCGCUCGAUCUAUUGCGUAUAUGGCAGUAAGGUGGUCGUAGUAAGGGAAAGAACGAUGUCUGAAUUGAGCGGCUUCUUUGUGACUCUAAAAAAAUGAGGAAAUCAUAUUAGUUAUAAGUUUGGUAAAAAUAAGAUAAUAAAGACUUGAAAUAAUUCUUACCUUUAAAUAAGAGUCCCAAACCGCAUCUUCAGCAAGAACGAGCUGCCUAUGCUCAUCCCAACCAAAACCGCUAUUGUUUUGGCCAUUAAGCAUGUCAUACACGAUUGACCACUCCCUUUUUAGUAACCUAAUUCUCGAUUCAAUAUUAGGUCUAGCCUUCAACAUUUCGUUGGGUAAAGCCUCCUCUAGCAUUUUUUCCAACUCGUUUAAAUAACCGGCUUUGAACCCGGUAUCAGCAUUAAAUGUUCCAACAUUGUGCAAGUCCACCAUGCAGGAAACCAAUGCUGCAUCUUCUUCUGGAACCCAUUUUCUUUUGGUUCCUCGAGAAGCUUGAGAACAUUUGAAGCUUGCACACCUGACAUAAUUAUCUUAAGAAAAAAAAACAAAUUAUAUUAAUUACUAUUAAUAUCAUGAAUCAAAAGGUGAACACUUUAUAAAAUUAUAAUUAAGUUCAAUAUCAUGAAUCAAAAGAAAUUAAAUUAUAAUUCAACAAGUUUAGUACAAUAGAAAAAUCAAUUCAAACACCACCAAAGUUUCACAAACUAGAUACGUAAAAUAACAUAAACAAAUUAACUCAAACUCAUUUUGUCCCUAAACCUAACAAAUUUCUAAAUGCUUGGCAUUCAUUGAACAUUUGGUUGGCUAGUUUCAUUUUCCAAGUAGCCCAAGCAUCCGAUGGAUGAAUAUUUACGAUGUUCGGUUCAUCAUCAUCUACCACAUUACUAGGUAAUCCUUCUUCCACAUCCGCUUCAAUAGGAUCAAUACUCAUAUGGGUUCGAAUAAAAUUAUGGAGCAAACAACAUGCAAUAAUGAUUCUAUUGUGCACCCUUACAGGAUAGAAUGAUGAACUCCUAAGUAUUCCCCAUGUAAGUUUUAAUAACCCAAAACAUCUUUCAAUAACAUUAUGUGCUGAGGCAUGUUUCAUAUUAAAAACUCUUCCGAAGAACUUGGUUGAUAACCCUGAUGCCACUCAUUCAAAUGAUAUUGUUGUCCUCUAAAAUGUGCAAGAAAUCCCUCACAAUUUGUAUAUCCAGCAUCAACUAGAUAAUAACAACCUAUAAAAAAACUUUGUUUAAAAUGAUUAAUUCAGCACAAAAAGUUUGAUGUUAAUGAAUAAUUCAAAGUCCUAUAACAAUCCACUUUACCAUGAGGAACUUUUAGUCCAUGUCUCCUACUAAUGGCAUCUCGAAGAACCCGUCCAUCAGCAACAGAAUCUUCCCAACCAGGAAGAACAUAAACAAAUUGCAUAUCAGGUGUACAAACACCUAGCAUAUUUGUUGCUAUGUCACCUUUUUGCGUUCGAUAUCUAGGUUUAUCAACUGUUGGAACCUUAAUCUUGAUAUGGAUUCCAUCAAGAGCACCUAAGCAAUUCUAUACCACAUGAUAUAAAACCUUGAGUUAGAAUACUAAAUUUAAAUCUAAAUCAACUAAAUGUUGUACAAGCUAUAUAUAAAACUCAAUCCAAUACCUUAAACCAUUUCCACAUUGUGUCAGAAGAAUUAGCUGUAAUUGGCUCUGGCUUUUUAAAUAACACAUCUUGUAAGCGUAUGACAGCAUUUAAAACACUAUGAAAUGAUCUGCUAACAGUUUCCCUGGAUCUACUAAAGUGAUGCUUGAUAACUCGAUUUUUCAGGUGAUGGGAGAUGAUAUGUAAAAACAUUGCCACUUACUCAUCAACAAGCAUGUUUCUUGACGACUUCAAUCCCCCUAACGAUUUUAACAUCUCACAUAGUUUAGAAAAGGUAGUUCUAUUCAUCCUAACUUGUUCAAUACAGGUCUCGUCACUAGCAUAUACAAGCCUUUUCACAUAAUCCCGUUUUGCAUAAAAAUCUAAGGUAUAGGACGUAAUCCUUGGUCUAUAAGUAUGUAGGCUAAGGUUGGCACCCAUUGUAAAUAAGAACCAAAUCGCAAUUCUACAGAUUUCCAACCAUAUUGCCAAUGCAAUACCAAUUCUUUUACGCCUCACACUUUGUGCAAUUAAAGGCAGACGAGUCAUUACUGCAAUAUAUUAAUGUGUUCCAUAUUGUCAAAUCGCAGUAAAAGGGUCACAUUUCUCCAAUCAUAAUUUCAAUAACAGUAAAAUAAAAUUAAAUAAUUUAAUUGCCAAAGAACUUACAGUGAUUGUGUGAAAAGAAGACGGUACACUGUGGGUGAAGGAAGCAAUCAAACAAGCCGCUUCAGUAGGAAGCAAUAUCACACUAUCAAAGAAAAAUGAACAAUACAAAUUUAGAAUAUUAACGAAGCAAAAAAUAGAAAUUAAAAUUACCUUUGCAAUUUAUAUCUCGUGUAUCAUUGUAUUAAAAUAAAAUAUAUAUAACAAAAGAGUAGAAGUUGAAACUUGAAAGCACAUGAUUACAAUAAAUGGUGUUGGUAUUUUUAAUCAAUAAAAGCCAACAUGAACGAUGAAAAUGAGAAUGUGUUAGCUACAAAUGAAGUUUAAGAGACUCUUAAAAUAUACAUGGUUGUAGUAAAUACUGAACAUGGCUAUGCUUAAAUGCCUAAAUUUGGGUGCACAUGCAAUUCAUCAUAUAAUAUUUCCACUCUCAACUUCUACUUUUAUAAGUAGAUCAAUUUAGUAUACUGUUUUCAUUAAAAUUUCUCUAUUCAGCUUCUGCUUUUUUAAAUAGAGCAUAGACUCAUUUCCUUUUAUAUAUUAAUAUACCACAUUAACCGGUUUAUAUUUAUAUCAAUGGCACAGAAAAUUUGGGAGAAAAUUUCUGAGGACUGCUUUUAUUUGUAAAUAACAACAUCAUUCAUUUUGUGGGGAAAAAAUUAUGAAUGAGCUUGCUUAUUAAUUACCUUUUUAUUUUGUACUGAAGUAGUUGCCACUGGUUCAAAAGUCGAUAUAUAUGUAAUAUUAUUAAAAUAAUAUUUUUUAUUUUAAUUAUUUAAAAAUAUUUUUAAUUAAUGCGGUGUAUAUGAAUAUACACAUUUAAUUAGUUUUAUUUUUAAUAAAAUUUAAUAUAUUUAAUAUUUGUUUUUUAAGCAAGUUCUUUACUUGAUUAUAUCUAAUGAUCCAAUUUUAAAAAAUUCGAUUAAAAUUUUCGAACUACAUCAACUUAAGAAAUUCGAUCCCAAAUUCAAAUUUUUCAAUACCAAUAAAAAUCAACUUGCUACAUCACCACUUGCAAAAUAUAACUCUCCAAACAUUACUAUGGAGUAAACCAAAAAAAAAACAAAACAUAUAUAGUUCUCGUAGACACCGAAACUUGAGUUCAAUGAUUAAGUAUCGUAAUUGAGCCCAUCAUCCCUCAAAGAAUUCCAACAUAACCAAAGUAACAUGCAUACAAACAAGCAAAAUAGAAGGAAUUCAUUCAAACUUGUGCUUUAAAAUUAAGUUCAAUCAAUUGCUAAAAUCUAUAGCCCCUGAAAUAAGAAGAAUAUAGAAGGCUUGUAUGUGAAUACAUGGCAAUAUGACAACACAGAAAAUGAAAAAGGCUUGGCUCUUCAACAAAAGCAACAUGUACAACUCAGACGAUCCACAACACAGCUUAAUCUAACAACAUCUUUUACUAAUAGCCUAAAAAAUUCACAUGAUGAAUUGCUGCAUAUACCAUAAACAAAAAAAAUAUUUUGAAAUGAUCUAUGACAAACUCAACAGUCUACAGCUCAUCAUAAUCAUACAGUUCAAUUAAGCAAAUGGAAAUUGGCAAUUUAGCAUAAUCAUACCACUCAGACGCAAGUUCAUUUUUUGGACAACCGAUUCAUACAUGAUAAUAAGGGUAAAAUAACUUGCAUGUGAACAUUAGCAAUCUAACGUAUGCAUUCAUGAUAAUAUGAAGGACAGGAAGCAUGAUUUACAACAGACCAAACACAUCCACAACCAUAUGCAAAAAAUCAGCAUGUAUGUGCUUUACUGUGUUUCUUUGUAUUUGAUUUUGAAGUCUUACAAUUUUUCUUUAGUUUAGAAGGUUGGAUAAGUUACCAAACCUCUUGAAUUGCAACUACAACUUUAGCUUGCCAACGAUUUAUGUCUGGAGCAAAUCGGUAACUAACAGUCCAAUACCUACAAAAUUCCACAUAGAACAUCAAUUUACUGGAACAACAGUGGUCAGAUACACCAGGCGCAAGAAAUAUAACAAGGGUGCUAAUAUACAAAAUAAUUUACACUUCUAAGCAUUCAACUAGUAUUAAAAUCAAUCACACAUGAUUUAGAUAGGCCUGAAAUCUCAAAUUUUGCAAGGCCUGAAGCCACAAUUGUUAUGCCCACAAUGCUGAAACCAGACAAAAACAAAAAGGCAUUGGACUACCAGGUCAUAGAUGACAUUUCAUUAGAAUAUCAUCAAUGACUGUUCAGAAUAAUAAUAUAUGACUUAUGUAACUAUUACACAAGUAAUGGUUUUACAUUUCAAUGAUAUGUUCAGAAUAAUGCAUAUAUUGACAACGCUACUAUGACUUGAGAACAGUUCAGGGACAACAUGAAACUGGAAAAAGAUCAUCAAUACAAACUACUACAGCAACAAUAAAAUUUUUAUUGCAAUUCCACCCAAAGUAUAAUGCUAGUUGAAGCAGCUAUCAAUAAUGAUUCGAUUGUUCAGGUUGCCAAAAUGAUUUGGACAUGGUCAAGCAACAUGGCCUACUGCCUCCAUAAUAACAUAAAAGCAGCAGCUCGGCUGGUGCAAUUACAAUAUCCUAUCUUAUCAGUAAUUUCUAUUGCUAUUAAAGUUUCAACCACAAACAAGAUCAUAUAUGUGAUGUGUAACAUUUCAUAAUAUCUGUGACUAAUACCUGAACUAAAAUUCCUCAAGCAACAAGCUAGGAGGGAAAAGCUUCAUAAAUCUAAUUGAAUUUUUUUUAUUAAUUUUUGUGUGCAUUUAAUUAAUUUACAAUGCCUGUAUGUUAUAGCCUGUUCUGUUGAUGACAUGGUUAAAUUGCACUUCGACUCCCCUAAGAUGAUAAAAUUUCUUUAUAAUCCUAUUAAAAACUAUGAAAUAAUAUGGUAAUACAGUGAUAAAAUUUUACUUUCACCUUUCUAAAAUAAAUUUCUGACUUUAUCCCUCACUAUUCUCACUAUUUUAUUAUUGGAUCAAAAUAUUAAGUAAUUAUUAUCCAAAAAAUAAUCAAUUAACCUAAAUAAACCCUCUAACUCAAUAAAUCAAUUCGAUUUAUUGAAUUUGACUGAUUUUUUGUCUACCUACUUAGCCAACAGAAAAAAUACAAAUUUAAACUUUGAAGAUGAAAUUAUUAAGAGGGGCAGUCAUAUGGUCCCUAGACCAUAAAACAAACAUGAAAAAUACCCCAAAAAAUUCUAACAAAAAGAAGUAGAAAAAAACAAUAAAAGAAUGUAAAAUUAAAUAGAUAAUCAAUCUCUGCAAAUAGCAAGACACUAAUUUCAUAGAACAAACAGAGAGCAAUUUACAAAAUAUAAAUGGGCGUAAGCAGGUUUGGCCAAUAGCAGACAACUUUAGAAACAAAAUAAGUCAUCCUUGAACAACAUAAAUUAGGACAUACAAUGCUACAAACAACCUCAGCACCCUUUGCAAACCUACCGAAGCUUUUAAGCAAUGGUAAUAUCCUUGAACAACAUAAAUUCGUCUUCUUUCGUCUGAACUUUUAAGGGCUUAAAAAACCAAAACUUAACUACUACACUCUACUCUUUAAGCAAUGGUAAUAUCCAAAUAAUCCCUUUUACACCGAAGAAUGUAGCUUCAGUCCACAUUACAUCCGAUGAUUAGUUUCUACAUCUAAACCUUUUAUGGACUCAUCAAAAUGCAAUGUCAAAAUUAAAGUAUUUUUCUUUUCAGUUUGCAAUUGAAAAAUAAAAGUGUCAGUUUCUUGAUUUUUACUUUAGGUGGAAAAGUAUUAAACAUACGAAUCUUCUGCUAAACCACAGUACAACCAAACAAUCAAAUCAACAAUUUAGCAAAUUACAGGAAUCAACAACAAAAUAGAAAAAGAAAACUUCAAAUUUAACAUGAUGUGAUAAAAAUCGAAAUACCCAAAUCCAGUUUCUCAAUUUAAUUUCAAACAGAAACCCCUACUAAAACAAAAUGUGGUCAUUGCAAGGUCAAAAAACAAUCCAAAGUUAUUACUCCAUUAAAAUUACAUAACUUCAAACAAAAACAAAUUAUAAGUCAAAGUUAAUAACUUGCAGAACCCAAUCCACAAUAUUAGCAGGUUUUCUGCGUGGACAAAACCCAAUUUCUAUAUUGUUAACUUGUUGAAAAAAUAUUAGAGAGGCAGAGAGAAAAUCUGUAAAAAUAUAAUGAUAAUAAGGUUGUAUCUUCCUUACCAGUUCCAAUGGAUAGAACACAAUUUCACCGACAGAGAGGAACAGAAAAUGUGAGAUGGAGGCUGCUUUCUGAUCGGUGUUCGAAGUCCAGUUGUGACGCAAAAGAGAGGUAAAAAAGAGAAGGAGAAGACAGCGAGGAGAGUGGAGAAGAAAGCUAGAAGAAAAAAUAGAAGACGGUGGAUUUUGGGUAAAGCAGAAGCGUGAAUAGGGAGGGUAAAACAUGGACCAAAACUGAAGCAGGACCUAAACUGAGCGCAAGGAAGGGAUUAGAAAUCGGUGGAUUUUGGGGAUUACCUCCGUAAUGUAAUAGACCCGUAUUAGGCCAAUACACCGAACCAAACAAUGUAUUGAGUGGGGCCCACAUGCCAUUACAUCCAACCAAACAUGGUGUUAGUUCACAUAUCUCUCUAUAAUGAAAUUAGGGUAAUCUAGAAAAAUAGUCACUUUUGUUUGACUUAGGUUACAUUUUAGUCACUUAUGUUUGAAAAGUUACGUUUUAAUCACUUAUGUUUUUAUUUUGUUACGAAGUGAUCACUCUACCGUUAACUUCCGUUAUCUCCCUAACGGUAAUUCUACGUGACAGUCCAACUAGAUUUUAAGUGCCAACUUAGAUUUCUAUAUGGGAUAAAAAUAGAUUUUUAAUUAAUUAAAAUUUUUAAACCUAAACCUUAAGUGAAAAAUCUGUUCAUCUCCUCUUUUUAAUUUUUCUUCCGUCUAUUCUUUUUUUAGUUUUUUUUUUCAUAUGACUGGAAAAACUAUUAUUAAGAUCAAAAUAGUUGAAAUCAAAUUGACUGCUUCAUAAAGAUGGAUUCAAUGGAGGGUCCAGGUAUGUCUUUUUUGCAUUCCUCUGUCUCUUUUAUUCAAUACUGAAAAACAAAAGGUUGGAUUUUUUAUUGUUUAAUGAAAACCCUAAAUUAAAAUUCUUGAUAUUUUCUUUGAUUUUUUGAAUUUUUUUGUGAACAUGUAUUUUAUUUUGCGUAGGUAGACAUCCCAUAAAAUGCAACCAGAAACAUGUUUUCAUGAACCUGUUUCAUUCAAGCUAAUUGUAAAUUUUUCAGAAAAGGGUUGUUGCUUUCACUGUUCUUGUUCCUAAUCAUUAUAUUUUCUAGUUUUUCACAGUUCUUGAAUAAUUGGUUUCUCAAUCAAAUUUUUUCUAAUCUGAAUCAACUUGUAUGUUCACAAUCUCUUUGUGGGUAUUUCAUAUUAUUCUUUCUUACUGCUGAUUUUGAGCUGAAUUACCUUGCAAUUUUUUCGUCUUUUUUUUUGCUGGUCUUGGGUAAGUUUUAGUUCAGAGCUAAUUGGUUAGUAGCUUUUGUUUUCCCUAAAUUAUAUUUCUAUGUUAUUAGUUUUAUCUGCUUAGUACUUGGAUUAUCUUCUUUCAUUCGUCUUGAAGUUGGUGAUAUAUGAAAAUACUUAGGUUGAAUGUUGUUUUGGUGUUUAACUUAUCUUUUUCAUUUAUUUACCCGCAUAUUUUUGCUUAAUUAGUUUAAUUGCAGUCCGUGGCAUUGAUGGUCUUGUAACUAGAAUCACUUUUUCUGCCGAUUCUGUGAAGAAAAAGAUCAUUCUAAAACCUAAAUACUAAAAUGCUCCUCAUGUAAGAUGUUUUCCUUUUGUUUGUCUUAUUUCCCCUCACUCAUCCAUUGUUAACUAUAUUCAAGGUUUAUUCUACUUCAUUGUUAUGUGUUUUAUAUGUGCUAGUGUUGCUGGUUUUUGAAUUGCACCCCUUUUUCUAAUUAUUGAAUGCAAACUAUGAUUUCUGUUUUAAAUUUCCUAAGUCUCAGAGGGUGAAUUGGAAUAGCAAGGUGCAUCAUCUUCUGUAGCAAAUUCACCUGGUUCAACUGCUGCGAGACAACGUCAACAACAGGAGGCUGGUGGAAAGUUAAUAAGAAGCAUACUUUCGAGUAAUGAAACGGGCCAAAAUCAGUCUUCAACAGCUGUCCAGGCUCAGCAGAAAACUGAAACUAUGAGUCUAGACAAUGUCAAGAGACCUUUGCGACCUACGAAUUCACGAUUGGGUUUGAAUGGUCCUGUCUCUAAUGAUAUUGCUACUUUUGAAUGUGAUUUUGAUACAAAAAGUGUUUCAAAUGAAAAGUUCAUAAAAAAGGCACUGCAUGGUUCAAGUUCCAGAAGUGAGAAGCAUGAAAACGUUCAAGAAAUAAGGAUAGACCUGAUCAUGGAGUAUGGCCCCCUCUUCAUUGUUCUGAUGUUCCAAAAGCUAGUGAGGAGCUCUUGACUCCCUUUGUAUUACAAUCUGCACAGGCCUCCCGUAAUCCCGACGAAGGUAUUAAUGCUUCUGCACAUAAAUAUCUGGUACUUGGAAGUAUCUAUAGGUUUGGGAUAUAGUUGCUAUGAUUGAAUUUGCAAGAAAUAAGAAAUUUAAUGUAUAUCACUUUUGUAUAUGAUCUUUUGUUAACCCGAGGAAAAAUGAAAAGUAGCAUACCUAGUGGAAGUAGUGGACAUAAUAUUCCAUUAGAAAACGGUUAGUGUAUCUUGUCGAAACCAUUUUUUCAAGUUUGAAAAAUGGGGGAUCGACUUUUAAAAUGAAAAAAGGAGUCGCCUCCGACCUUUUAUUAUGGUGCGAUCGGAUCACCCUGAAAAUAAUUUUAGGUUUGCGAGUUUUGAGAAAACAGGUUCGGGAGUCGGUUACGCACGAGGAAGGGUUAGCACCCUCGUGACGCCCAAAGUUGGUACCGAAUUGAUUGUCUAAUGCCUUAAUGUCGAGAUUUUGAAAAGAUUUUAAAAUACAAUCCUUUUAUUUUGAAGUUAAAUUUGACUUUAAAAAACUAUGCAUUUUGAGAAGGAUAUCUGAUUAUUUGGGCCAAAAGAGAAUAUCAAAAUCCAGUAAGUUAGGGUUCGAUUUCACCAAAUUCCCAAAUAUCGAAUAUUGCCUUUAUUUUUAUUUGUUAGAAAAAUCUUUGUCUCAAGAAAACAAUACGCCAUACCCAAUGCGUUAGGACACCACGUAUCGAAUUCUCGAGAACAAGCUAUUUAUUUAUUUCGAUUAAAGCACAUCCUCGAUUAUUUAGAUUCAAUGAGAAAAAUUAAAACCCAAUACGUUAGGGCUGAAUUCUAUCGAGGAUUCUAAAUUUCGGGUAUUGCCUUUAUUUUAAAAACGAGACGACAAAACGCCACAUCCAGUAAGUUAGGAUCUAACAUUUUGUAAUCUUAGGAGCUUUAUUUUAACAAUUGUAUGGUUUUACCAAAAACAAUAGAUACUUGAUGAUAUAAAUUCAUCAAGAAGAAUUGAAGCACAGUAAGUUAGGGCACAAUUCUCUCGAGAAUUAUUUAACACCAAGCCUUUUUUGAAUUUUGAAAUGAAACGAUUAUAAUAUCUUAAUGAAAUGAAAUUCUUACGAACAAUAUGAUUGAUUAACAAUAUACAAAGCAAAUGAUGAAUAACAAAUUAAUUCUACAAUUUGGAGCAUCCAAACGUAUAAUGCAUUAACAAUGAUAAUCAAAUAAACUAACAAUCCAUCUUACAAAUAGCCAAAAUAAGUAUAAAAAUAAUUUAAUCGCAAGUAAACCAAUUGAAAUAAUAAAAAAAUGAAUAAAAUUUUAAAACAUAAAACAAUAUAAAUUUCAAAUUAUAACACAUUUUAUAAAUAUGGAUAUAUAUUAAAAUAAUUCCGUAUAAAUUAUACAUGUAGAUAUGGCAAUCACGAAAUAUCAUGGUGAAAAUAAAAUUUGGGACUAUAUUCUAAAAUACAUUAUUGAGAAAUAUAAAGUAAUAUAUCAAAUUCUAAAAAUAUAUUAAGUGUAAUAAAAUAAAUAAUAAUGUAUCAAAUUGGAAAAUAAAAGUAUAAAAAAGGGGGUUUGUAAACAAUAUUAAGCCAAUAGUAAAGAAAAAAUAAUGUUUAAAAACAUAUGAAUAUAAUAAUAGAUUUAUCCAAAAACUUUGAAGACAAAACAAAAUACGAAGGAAACGUUUUUUGGAAUUGAAAAUAAUAAUCUACAAAUUUUAAAGCCAAAGUUCCAAAACUUAAAUAAAAUUAGAAUAAUAAUACAGAGAAAACAAAAUUAAACAAAUAUCAAAUAGAUUUCAAAAUAUUGGUAUAGAAUGAAAUUAAAAUAUAAAAUACAAACUAAAUAAUAAAUUUUUUAUGUUUUUAAAAUUAUAAUAAUAAUGAAUUUUAAAAAGCUACCUAAAGUUAAAUAUGAAAGUAAUACUAAAAGAGAUUGAUAAUAUGUUAAUGUAAAAUUAAUCCUAUUUAAAAAAAUUGUUAUUAAAUAAGAAAACAGAAAAAGGAAACCAAAAUUAAACUAAAUCGAAACCAAAUUCAAUAUUGUAGGACCAAAUCAGUAAUUAAACAUAAAAUUGGAUAUUCAAUGCCAAUCACGUGAAACGACACCGUUUAAAAUUGGAUCCAAAUGAAAAUAAAGUUAAAUAUGCAGUACAAAUUAAGAAAAUGGUAAGAAAAUUGAAUCGAACAACUCCCAAAUGAAAAAGGGCUCAUAGUGCAAAUAAACCAAAAUGUCAGAAUGCGCGGAUCCUCCCCGGGUCAAAUCGGAUCAUCGGGUCACAGGGCUAUACGACAUCGUUUUGAGGCCAUUGAAACCGGCCACAAACGAUGUCGUUCUACAGGCGUAUUAAAAGACAGGAAAAAAACUGUUAAACCAUUCACUAUUUCAGAAUAAAAAAGAAAAGAAAAAAAAGGAUAAAAAACC